rnacentral:lncRNA from 1 species
AUCCUAGGAGGCAAACACCACACAAACCAUCUUUCAUACUGGAGGUAAUAUAGACUAUAGUCAUCAUGACUAGUAGCCAUUGGUAGCCUUCUUUCUCCUCGAUUAAUUUGACUGAUGUGCCACUUUUCAAGUGCUACACAAUGUUUGCUCUUCACUUGUAAGGAAUCAUUCUUUUAGUGUGGCAGCCCCUGUCCUUUGGAAGUCCCUGCUUAUUGACAUUAGGCAAGCACCUAAUUGUUACUUUCAGACACCUGCAGAAAAGAUCUCUGUAUCCAGACACAUGAUUCGGUUAUGCCUGUUCUUAAAUUUGCCUUGGAUGCUUUAUUGCGUUUUUCUUGCUUUCAGAAGUUUUUAACAGUUUUCAAAUGUUUUAAAUUUGUUUUUAUAUUGUUUUUUAAUUUCUCUCUGUGUGUUUGCUGCCCUGGGCUCCUUUGAGAGGAAGGACAGGAUAUAAAUGUCAUAAAUAAAUAAAUUGUCCCUUUUUAAAGCAGUCCAAGUUGGUGACCCGCACUGCAUCUUGUGGUAGUAAAUCCUAUGUUUAACUGGGUGAAGAAGUACUUCCUUUUUUCUGUCUUGAAUCUCACAGGUUCUCGGAUUUUCAGAGAGGGACAAAAAAUACAUCCCUGCUCACUUUAUCCACACUAUGCAUAAUUAUAUACACCUCUGUCAUGUCCCCACCCAUUAUCAUCAUUUCAUCAUCAUUUUUUAUUUGUAUGCCGCCUUUCCACAGUUAAAAAAACAAUGCUCAAGGCAGCUUACAGCAUAACAAGAUUUGCAUAAUUACAAAAGCCAUAAACAGUAAAUAAAGGUAAAGGUACCCCUGCCCGUACGGGCCAGUCGUGUCCGACUCUGGGGUUGUGCGCCCAUCUCACUUAAGAGGCCGGGGGCCAGCGCUGUCUGAAGACACUUCCGGGUCAUGUGGCCAGCGUGACAAGCUGCAUCUGGCGAGCCAGUGCAGCACACGGAAACGCCGUUUACCUUCCCGCUAGUAAGCGGUCCCUAUUUAUCUACUUGCACCCAGGGGUGCUUUCGAAGUGCUAGGUUGGCAGGUGCUGGGACCUAACGAUGGGAGCGCACCCCGCUGCGGGGAUUCGAACCGCCAACCUGACGAUCGGCAAGUCCUAGGCGCUGAGGUUUUACCCACAGCGCCACCCGCGUCCCUACAAACAGUAAAUAAACCACAUCAAAAAAUACACAACCAAAUGGGAAACAAUUUCCACAUAAAUCAAAAUCUAAAACUAAGAAUACAGCAUUAACAUCACAGUUUAAAAUGACAUAGGUAAAAAAAUAACAGCAAUUUAAACAAAAAACAAAAACAAAACAAAAUGGAGCCUUCUCUGCCCAGCGGCAGCAGCGGCAGUAAUCCCCUAUAGAGCCCAUAAGGCCCCGCCCUGGGCCAGGUGGUGAGUUGCAGGACUGGGGCCCUCAGGUACUGAGCAGGGGAGUCCUCCUGGGUGGGAGCCACAGCAGCAGUUCCUAUAAGGCAUGUAAGGCCCUGCCCUGCGCCAGGUGGUGAGUUGCCUUUCUUGCUCUGUUAAGCAAAAGCCCUAAACGUUGUAACUUUUCCUCAUGGAGGAGUUGCUUUAGCCUUAUUAUCUUUCUUUUAAGUGCUGAACCUUUUAUUUGUGAAGCAAUUCUACCCAAUUGCCAGGUUAAGGGACCCAAUUAGCCAUGUUGUUUUUUUGUUCUACCACGAAAAUCUUCCAUUGCUCCGGCUAAUGAAUACAAAGGGACUGAGACAACUGAUAGUCACUAGACAUGUCGUUUUACAUUUUCUAAACUACAUUUACUCAAUAUGGAAUGCACGGACAUAACUGGCUGUGUGGUACCAGACUGACUCAAGGUGUUGGUUUGUGAAGCCUAAAGAGCUCAGGGUCCCAGUAGUUGCAGGAUGCUUCCUCCAAUACCAGCCAACCCAAUCCCUAAGGUCAGGUGGGAGGAUAUUCUGCUUGUGGACUCCACUAGGACUUAUGGUUCAAAUUGUGUGACCGGGUCUUCUUUAUCCUGGCCCCCUGACAUCAGAGCACCUCCCCCCAGGAGUUGCAUUUGCUUUAACUCCUCAUUUUUUACAUUCAAACACCACCUGAAGAUUUCCUUGUUUACUAUGGCUUUUUAGAAAAUGAAAUGCUGCUGGGUUAAUAACCAAUGGCUGCAACUGAAUUCUGUGCUUUAAUGGCUUCAUUCUUUUCUAUUUUAUCUAUUUGAUGCAUUUGGUUGUUUUUAAUCUUUUAUUGUACAUCACCCUGGGCUCCUUCUGGAGGGAGGAAUUUAUCCAGGUAACAACUAAAUGGAUAAAUAACUUUAUUAAGCUCUGGAUAUUUAGAUUCUUACUUCUUUGCUUUGAUUUACCUCACUCCACCCCCAGACACCCUUAGACCUCCUCUUGCCACAGCAUUUCUGGUUAUGAGCCUAAUUGCACUACCAUGCUCCAAAGGCUAAAGGCAGAUUCCACAGUAGAAAGCUCAUUCCCUAUAACCAGAGUUUCUUGGCAAUGGUAAUUUCUUGCCUAUAGUUGCCACCGAAUAUUGCCCAGAGGGAAACUUGCUGUGAGUUUGAAUCAUCCUGCUCAGGCAGAACAUCUGGAAGAAUCUGGAGGUAAAUUCUUCCUGUGGGGUGGGACUGGCACACAUGUACAUGUAUGCUCCCAACUCUCUCCUAUUUCCCAGGGAUAACCCCCACUUUCUGGCACCUGUUUCUGCUAAGACAAUGUCCCAGUUUGGCAUUUUGUGGCCAUGCUGGGAUACCAUUUUCAAAAAUAUUGUUAAUGUGCAUACAUUACAUGUUUGAGUUGUUCAGAUUUCAUCCCCCUCCCCUGGAAGACAUGAGAAGUUAAAUCCCUGAGAGGAGGGUGGGCAGAUGACUCUUAAAAAAUGCAUGGAAGUGUUGGCAUGGUUGGCAUGGUGCAAACAGACUAGUGAGGCCAAUAUGCUGCUCCUGCUGCUGUGUUUACACCACACCAGCCUCCCCUCUGCCUACCCACUAAGCAACAGGGACCCACCUGCCAAGAAGCUAGCAUAACAGCUUUGCCCCACCUGGUGAGGCACUUCUUUUCCUAGUCCUCCCUGGAGAUGCUUCAGAUUUAACCUGAGGUAGUCUCCAUGGAAGGCACAUGCUCUGCCACUGAGCCAUGGCCCUUCCCUUCCAUGCAGCUCCAGACUGUAAUUUUAUUCCUGAGAUUAGUAUGAAUGGGAAAGUCACUGAAUGUUUUCCAAGGGUUUUUCACUAAUGCAGACUCCAUGGUGUCUUGAGUUGCCUGUGAGAAAGAGGCUGGUAUUUAUAUUCUGAGUAAUAGCCGCUUUGGGCCUGUGGCUAUGGGAGUGGAUUAUUAUGGGUAUAAUUAAUCAUUGAGCCCUGUAAAUUUGCCUAAUAGAACACCUUUUGAGGUAUCUCUCUUAAAUCUGUCUCCAUCCAACUGGCUGGCAAAAUGAAGGCUGUGGCCACUUCAUACUUUUGCAAGUUGCAUAUAUUAAACAAAAGAGGCAUUGCAUAUAUACUGUAGUUGUACUUAUAUAACUUCAUCCAAAACUUCCUGUAAGCUUCAGUUACCAAGGCACAGCAUAGUUCAGGUGCUGUGGAACAACCUCCCAGGUACUUCCUGAACAACCUGGCUCCCCUAGAAUGUAGCCCAGUUCCCCAUAAUAUUCUUAUUGAUAUUAUUUAUUUAACAUCUUAAAAUGCUUUAACCUCUGAAAAACCAGUGAGAAAUGAAAUUAUCCCAAUUCUAUAAAUCAAAGGUUGAAAAAGGAAAUAAUGUUUUUUGCUUAAGAAUGAAAUUUUGGUAUGUUUCCCCAGGCUCAAAGCAGUUUGCUUCUUGCUUUUGUAAAAGAGAUAAUGUUGCUGCAUCUCUUUGUUUCAUUUUCUCUUUUGUAUAGAUUUUUAUUGAGUUUUGAUAAAUCCUACACAUGAGAUCAAUUACACAAUAAUUCACACAACUAAGUUUUAAAAAAUCAUAUCAUAAUGGGGGGGGGGGCAGGCACAAGCACAAACAAAGACCAAAACUAGGCAAGUAUAAAAAAAUGCAUACAAUAAUCUUCAGGGUAUGUAUAGCCAAAAACAAUUGAUCCAAUUACUUAGAAAACAAUAACCCUUAAAGCUUUGGUUUUUGGACAUUCCCACCAUAGAUGUAAAUAUGUCCCUAUUGCCUAGCAACCCUGCCUACAUUCGGCAAGGAAUCAGGGUUCAAGUAUUACAGCCUACACAGUGUGAGGUACUACUUAUGUAGUAACUUUAACAUAAGCUCCCUGUUGAUUGCUGAAACAGAGCAAAAUGGUGGGUACUAGUCUUUGUUGGGUUAAUUGCUCAGAAAUUGAUUGAUGUUCAUCUUAGAGGUCAACAGAUGUUUCAUCAAGAAUAAUAAUGGCUUCCUGAUUUGGGGGGAAUCUCUCCAGCCCUUGCAACACAGUGCCCAACCGAGGUGGGGGCAGCCAGGAGAUAGCAUCAUGCAGCUUGAACUGGGAGGCACAGAAGCCCCUUUCACAUGUUCAAUUGAACAGAGGCAAGAGGAGGAUCAUGCCCACAGGCCCUGCUUCCACUCACACAAACUUAUGUGAAAGUGAUGAUGCAAAAGAGUCCACAUGCAUACAGAUUGCAUGUAUGUGUGAUCAUGGGCCCUGUAUACACCCUGUACACAUCAGCACAGUACAUUUAAGGCACUCUUACACCACUUUAACAGUCAUGGCUUCUCCCAGAGAAUCCUGGGAACUGUAGUUUGUUAAGGGUUCUCACCUCACAAAUGUACAAUUCCCAGCGCCCUUAGAAAGCCAUAGUUUUCAGGAUUCUCCAUUGCUGUUAAAGUGGUGUAUAAGAGUGUUUUAAAUGUAUAGUGUGGUUGUGACCAGAUUUUCUGGGUGGUUGACAAGGAUUUCUGAUUUCCAGUUUUUUAACAAUAGCAGCAGAACAACCAUCCCUCUGUCACCAUAAAUUUUGAUGAAAUGAAGAAAACUUGGGAUAAUUGGGAGUGGAUAUAUGUGUGAGCCUGUGAGCUCCAUUGAGUUCUGGUACUCAGAACAAAUUCCUGUUCUCAGAAUUCUUUAAUUAUUAAUAAUUGGAAGCAGGCCAGGUUUGGUGGUUCUCACUUGAAGACAAAGCUGAACCCACUAGCCUGAAGUCUGCCUGCUCCUGAUUUGCAAGAUAGAAAAUUCUCAUCUAAAAUUCAUGCUUCUUUUAAAUAUAUAUAUAAAAGUAAUGUAUGAACCAGGUGAACUUAAUCAAAAGAGUGACUGGCAUUAAAACCAAGGUUGCAUGUUAGAUCCUCAUAUGGGACAGCUGUAUAUUCCUGCAUUGCAGGAGGUUAGAUUAGAUUAUCCUCAGAGUCUGUUCCAACUCUACAGUUCUGUGACUCUAAAAAAUGAAUCAUAAUAGCAUAGGAAGAGCCCUUCUGGAUCAGGUCAAAGGCCUAUCUAGUCCAGCAUCUGGUUCUCACAAUGGCCAACUGGAUGCCUACAGGGAGCUUGCAAGCAGGACCUGAGCAUAACAUAACACAACAGCAUAACACAACAGCUGGGGAUGGGCAAAUCUGACAAGCUUUGAUUUCUUUGUUUCUCAUUUUCCCAAUCUUAAAUUCAGUACCCCAAAUUUCCACGUCAGUUUGCAAUUCUUUUUGAAUCUUCGCGAAAAUUCACCAGCAUUUUAGUACAAAUUUCUCCUAUUAAAUACAUCUCUGCAUGCAAUUGGGCCUAUUUAAAUGCAUUUUUGUAUAUCAUUUUCAGUGAUAUAUGCUUUUCAAACAUGCUUUUGCAUUUGUGCAUACAUUACUUUGCUGGAGAACUGCAUGGAAAAAUUCGGAGAAGUGCGAAUUUUGAAGGAUGCGUGUGUUUUUGGUUCACAAACUGUUUCAGAAAGUACAAAUUAGGUACGCUCACCUUUAAAUGCAAACUGAAUCCCCACUAGCACUCCCAGCAAGUGGCAUUCAGAGGCACAUUGCCUCCAAUCCUGGUUGGUCCAUCCUUCAGAUCCCUCUUUCCCCCACUAAAACCAGUUCACUCAUCUUUUACACUUAAGAGGCACCCUUCCCUUCAAUAAAUGUCAAAUAGUUGCUGUCUCUACUUCCUGCUUAUGCAUUCAUUUUCUCAGGCUCCCUCUGCCAGUUGUCGAGUCAAUUAAUACAGAUAUGAAUAAGAAGCCAUAGUAAUCUCAUUAAUAUUAAUAAAUGUUAACAUUGUAAUAUACUUCUUUUUAUUACAAUAUCACCUUCAUUAGAAUUUUGUUUUGCUUUUCUGCAGUAUCCUCAACAACAGUAUUGCUCAGUGGGGAGAAGAAAAAGGAGAGGGGUGGAAUCAGGGGCAGGGUGGUUUGAUGCAUGCCUCAGUAACAUGGAAUUCAACCAGUUAAGUACUUUAAAUGGAAGAAUGAAAGAUUUGGAGAUUCUGACUUGUGGCGGGGGAGAAGGCAACAUGAUCCGAGGCACAUUCAGAGAACACAUCAAAUGCACUUCCCAUCAAAGAAAGUUUUUAUUAACUUUAUAAUGGCCUGUGAUAUGUAUCUGCAACUCAGUCAUAUUGCCUUCAUUUGUUUCUCUGUGUGACAAGAUGCAGCCUGAUCUAGCCUGACAAGCCACAAUGAGUGCAAUGCCCAUACAUCAUGAUGACACGUUUAAAAAAGGAAAGGAAAGGAAGACAAGCAGCCCCCAAACCAAGAACACACGCACAAACACACUGAACUUUUAAGGCCUCCUGUUCAUCAGAUGGAAAGCAGUUACAGAUCUCCUAUAAGGAUAACCACCAGAGAACACAGUAAAGGCUUUUGAGAUGAAAUGCAGUAUAGCACCAAAUGGCUUAAGUUAAAGAGCCCACCUAAGAUGUGUAAAGACUCCCAGAUAAUGAAAGAGAGAUGUAACCAUGUAGAUAGCCACACAUAGGAAGAUGGCCUUAUGCUGAGUGAGGCCAUUGGUCCUUCUAGCUCAGUAUUGUCUAUGCUGACUGGCAGUGGCUGUCCAGGUUACAGAUACAGGUCUCCUCCAGCCUUACCUGGAAAUACCAAGGAAUUGAAACUGGGACCUUCUGCAUACAAAGCAGUUGCUCUACCAUGUAGCUAUGGCCCUUCACCUUGUCACCUAGGGUGAGUAUACUGUACAUGGUUCCCAGAUAAGUGGAGAAUGGUGUUUUACAAAAUAUACCUUUUUUUUCCAUUUUGACCAUGCCAACCUCCCUGGUGCUCCCCCCCCCUUCCCAGUAAGCAACUGUGACCCACCUGCCAGGAAGCCAUCAUAGCAGCUUCGCCCUACCAAGCAAGUCACUUCUGUAGCUAGUGUAGAAUGCAGUGGCUAGAUUUUUAGCUGGGACAGGCCUGAACCUAUAACAUUGGUUCUGGCCUGACUGCACUGCCUACCAAUUUGUUUCUAGGCUGAAUUUAAAGUUUUGGUUUUGACCUUUAAAGUGUUAUACAUCUUGGGAUCCCUAUACAGUGGUACCUCGGGAUGUGAACGGAGACCCGUUCCGGAGCCCCAUUCACAUCCUGAAUAGAGCGUAAGACACGAUGGUGCAUCUGUGCGUGCACGGGUCGUGUUUUGCCACUUCCAUGCAUGUGCGUGACGUCAUUUUGAGCGUAUACGCAUGCGCGAGCGGCGAAACCCGGAAGUAACACGCUCCGUUACUUCCAGGUUGCCAUGGAGCAAAAACCGAAAGUGCUCAACCUGAAGCACAUUCAACCCGAGGUAUGUCUGUACCUAUAUGACAGCCUUUUCUCGAUAUGACCCUUCCCAGGUCCUAAGAUCAUCUUUGGAGGCCCUUCUCUGAAUGUCACCUCCAAGGCAUGUCUAGAGGGUGGUGGUGAAACCAUAGGCUUUUUCUGUAGUAGCUCCCAUCUAUGGAAUAUUAUCCCCAAGGAGACCUGCCUGGCAUCAUCAUUCUGGCACCAGGAAAAUACAUUUUUGUUUUCCUGGGCAUUUGGACAGCACCCAUGAUUUUCUUUUCUUUUUUCUUUGGUAGGGUUUUCAGUACGUUUAUUGAUUUUUAUUGGUAUAUUUUGUUUGUCUUAAAUUGCUUCCAGACUUCUUGUUGUGGGAAGCAAUUUGUGAAUUUAAUACAACCUAACCUAACUUUAGCUCAUGCACAAGCCUGGCUCCUGAAUACUGUGGAAUGGAUAGGAGGUGAGCUUUGCAAACAAGUUCCUUAAGUCUUUUAAUCUGCUUCCCAUCUAAAGCGGCUUCUUUCAUGGUCAAUUAUAGAGUGUUCCAGAGGUGUUUCACUGGGAGAAAGAGUGAGGAAAGGGGAUCAUUCUUGUACUACAACUCUCUGGCCCUGCUUCUUCCAGCAAUUGACUCACAAAUGUAAUUUUGUUUUAUGGCUUCCUGUCUGCACUAAUGAAGUAUGAUUAAUCAGGGCCCAUAAUAUGACUCUCCUCCUACACGACCUUUUUCCAUACUCCCUGGUAAAUAUAAUGCAGACUAUUAAUUUGGACUACAAUGUUAAUUUGCACAAUAAUGUUUGUAUUAUUCUAAUGUGAUGUGUUUAUCAUAAAAAAUAUGAGAUAAAUUAAAUCAACACCAUAGUCACCAAUAAAAGCUGAUGCUGCGGUGAAACGAGGAAGACAGUUCCUGGACAAAUAUAGUUCAGCUCAAAAAGGGGUAUACACAAAAAAGCAUGCAAAUUUGCAUACAAUUUGCAUGUGCUGAUUUACGCAGCUCAGUGCAAAGGAAUAAUUGCUAAUGGUUAUAAUUUCAAUAGAAAUACUAUACAUCUUAGAGACUGUAACCAUGCCCCUGCUUGUUCUGUUGUUCAGGGGCUAACAGUUGACAGGUAACUUCAAGUUGCCCCUACUUUGCCUUCCUUCCAUUCUCUAUCUUGAAACUGAACUUGGACUGGACAGUCCUUCAAAUAGAGGGUUGGCCUUUGUAAUGUAGGACACCUGGCCACCCAAAUUGGCAGUGGUCCAGGAUCCUGAUUUCAAAUCACUCAAGACUGCUUUAUACAUUAUCUGGUGCCCAUGUAGUUGCUUCCCCUCCAUGACUGCUCCCACACCACUCCAGGAAUGUAUAAGGCUUCCACCCACAUGGUUUAGUGGCAUAUGCAUGCAUUUAUAACAUGAAAAAUAACCCCCGUUUACUGCCACGCUAUGUAGGCAUACAAGUUCAGUUUAACCACAUGGGUGGAACCUGGAAUAGCUUGGAAGCAAUGCCAAAAGGACCAGCAACCAUGCCACUCCAGGUGAUCUCUAAAGUGGUCCCAAGAAAAUAUUUUUAGAAUAUACACAUGCUGCCCUUUCAGUACUUGGAGUAAUAACUUAGUCCCAGAAGUAGACCAAGCAAGUUGGUUGUCUGCAAAAUUCCGGAAUGUUGAAGCAGCUGUGGGGGGUGGGGGUGGUAGGUUAAUUCCUUGCCAGUCCAUUCUCAUGCUGCUCCCUCUGUCUUUGGUCCUCAAUGUCUGUGUUUGGUCUGUAGCAGAUUCAGAUUUGGCUCUGGCCAAUACUGUCCUUGUCCAGAAGUCUCUUAAGCCAGAACUAGAUAAACUUUAAGGUGCCAAGGGCUCCAAUGAGUAUUUUUUUAAAACACAUAUUAGAAUGUGGAGUCCAAACCCUAACCCCUUAUCAGUUCAAGAUUAGUAGCUACUGAUAGCGUCAUCUGCCAAAGCCUCCCUUCUAAAGCCAUACAAACUGGUGGGCAUCACUAGCUCUUGUCAGAUCAGAUCCCAUAGUCCAACUCUGUGCUGUACAAAGAAGUACUUCCUUUUGUCUGUCCUGAAUCUUCCAACAUUCGGCCUGAUGUGCUUGACCUGUAUUCUAGUGUUAUAACAAAGGGAGAAAAAGGAAGCUGCCUUAUAUCAUUUGUUUAUCUAAUCCAAUACUGUCGCUUCAGCUCUACGUGGAUUUAGGCAAAGAUCUUACAAAGAUCUUACCUCUUACCUGAUCUUUGUAAAUGGAGAUGCAAAGUAGUCGACAUGGGUUGCCAUACGCCCAGGAUUUUCCAGGACACUCAGUGAUUUUCCACCCGGGCAAUAAUCCCGACUGCCUAAUCUGGGAAAUUCAACCCUAGCUGAAUGCUUCCUCAUGAGCAGUAACCUGCUUGUGGGCCUACUCAUGAGCAAGAUAAUGGAGGCAGUGGGUGUGGCUAGAAAGCUGCAUAUAGAUGGCAGAAAAUGAAGCUUUGUGGCCUCCUCUAGUCAGGGAGAGGGACCCCUUCUGCCUCCUUGAGACCAAAGGAGGCUAAAAGGUUACCUUACCCAGAAGCUGCAGGCUUCAUGUUAUUCUUGUCUCCUCUAUUAUCUGGCAAAGCAAGAUUCAUUCUCCAGACACCAUGUUGAAAGGCAGUGUGGUGCAGUGUCGGAUUAGGAAACCCAGGUUCAACCCCCUACUCAGCCAUGAAAUUCCUUGGGUGGGUGAGUUUGGGUCAAUUACCAUCUCUCAGGGUUGUUGUGAGGAUUUUUUUAAAAGGGGGUUGGGGAAGAACUGUAGUCACCACCUUGAGCAUUUUAGAGGAAACAUUGGAAAUAAACAUCAUUUUUGUUUCUAAAAAAUAAAAAAAAAAGCAGCUCGCAAUGGUUCCUGCCUCAAUAGGUCCCUGAUGGGCUGUGAGUUUCCUACUGUGUUAGUCAGAAUGAAUGAAAUGAAAGGCUCUGAAGACUAAUACAGCACGUGAGGAUUUUUCCUCACUGCAAAUGACAUUUUCACAAUAUGCCGAUGUGACAGUAAUUUUCAUCCCUCUCCCAUUAAAAAAACAAAGAGACACAAGUCUAAUGGAAAUGUCACUUUAGGAAGUUUGUUUGUUUUGCAGCAAGUUGCAGAGAGGAGGUUAAAUUUAAUUCUCUUUGUGGGGUAGCUCUUCUUUGAAAGACAGCAUUUGGAAAUGAAGAAGGAGAGUGUUUAGCCUGCGUGGGGGAAGGGGAUGCCUUAGUGACACUGAAUCACUUCUCUCCAUGACAGUAAUCUCAAAUAUAUUUAUUUAUUUAUUUAUUUACGGCUAUUAGCCCAUAAAGUAUGUACAAACAUAAAAGCACAGAGGCAUAAAGACUAAUAUAUUCGGCACCAGAAGAUGAACACCAUGAUGCAGGGGUGGGUCAUUGAGCAGAGCCAGAUAACAGCUUGGGGCCCGGAGAGCUCCAAGGGACGGAUCCCAGAAAAGGAGAACUGAAGACGAGAUCCGACAUGCACUCUCUUCAAAACUGUCCGAUUAGUUUUUGAUGUUGUUGUUUUUGGUGGUUUUUGUGUGUGAGAUAACUGCAUUCAGGAAUCUCGCCACCUGCAGAGUUACAGAAGGAUCUGUAUCCUGCAAAAGUAGUGCGGCAUGUGACUCAGCAGGCCUGCCAACCAAGCGCAGUAAAGCAGGGCCCAGGAAUUUAGUCCUGGCUAUGCUAUGUAGGGGACAGUUGAACAUUAUAUGUGAGAGAGAAUCAACAGUUUUCCCGUCACACACGCAUAGCGGAGACACCAAACCCUUGGAAAAUCUGUGGCUCAGCAGGUUCGAUGGAAAGACAUUGAACCUUGCACGAAUAAAUGCAUGUCGGUGUGGUACAGAUGAAAGAGAUGACAUGUAUGAUGGAAGGCCAAGUGGUGAGGUUAUUCCGUGAUACCUGGGGGAGCAGACACCCUCACCCCCGGCUCUCAAAUAUAUAUAUAUAUAAUUUGCAAGCAAUGCCAUUAUGGAAUUUGGCUUGUGCCAACCUCACAGUUAUCUUUUACUUUACUCUGAGAAAUAAAUUAAACUGAGCAAGCCCCAAUUGCAGAUACGUUCGUCUCCAUCUGUUUUCUUAUAAAUGAAAAAUAUUGUAAAAUUGCUUUCCUUAAACUAUUGCACCGGUGAAUCAGGAAUUAUAAACUCACAGUCAAAGAGAGGAUGCCAGAGCAUUUUUGGUAAAGUGCCAAAGUUGUUUAAGCUUUUUUCCCCCAUUUUUAAAAAAACACUCUGGAAAUAACUGCAGUAAACUGAUGACUGCUAAGGUUAAACAGUCAUCGAGUUAAGUUAAAUUCAAUUUAGCUUAAAUAUUUUAUUAGAAAGGAAAGCAAGCAUAAGUGCAGAAGACCAAAAUCUUUAUUUCUUAAUUAGCUUCUUUGCCUUAUUUCCCCAUGAAUGUUAGGAUGGGGUGGGGAACAAUAAGGUCAUUUUAAAUUUUUGGUAAAACAUCAACACUGGAGUGUGGUAUAAAAUGCAUUUCACAGUAGGAGGGGAACUUGAGUCUCCAUGUCCCUGAGAUUAAUGUAGAGGCUUAAGAAUACAAAUCUCUAUUGUCUGAGAGUGAAAAUAUUUAGCAAACGCAUGCGUCAAGGGACAGAUAGGUUACCUGGUCAGCAAUAUCCAAGUUGGCUUGUGUUACUACGUAUGGGAAUAUACAUGCAAUAGCUUUAGCAGGACAAACUACUUGCCAAUGAAUUAACCUACAAACAUAAAAUCUCUGCUGAGAAAGAGGGGAAUUCUCAAAGACAUUGCAUUACAAGGUUAUACCAAUAUGAUGCAGCAAUUAGAGUGAUGUGCUAAGACUAAGGAGACCUGGGUUCAAAUCCAAACACAACCAUGAAGCUUAGUGAGCAACCCUGAGACAAUCAUUGUCUCUCAGCAUAACGUUCUUCAAAGGAUUGUCCCUCUCAUGUAAUGCAGAAAGGAGGGGGAGAGAAAGAGACAGAAGCUGGAAAGCGGUCUUGUGCAUGUUUACUCAGAAGCAAAUCUAAUACAGCCUUGCCUGCACAUGGAGAAAGAGUGCCUAGGCUCACUUGAACUAAACAAGGCUUGCAUGCAUAGGGUCAGGCUGCACAAGCUACAGUGAAUUGUUAGUUUAAUUAAUUCUGAAACACUUCCCAUAAAACAUCCCAAAGUGAUAAACACACACAUUUCAAGUCCAGUAUAGAGUGGGAUAGAAAACUCCGGUUAAAAUGAGGAUUGUUUGGAAAAGGAAGAUCUUUAAUAGGCACCAAAAAUAUAAUCAAGACAGUGCCUGCUCAUAUGUAAGGUGAAGAAGUUCAAAACUGUAGGUGUCCUAAUAAGGUGUUUUGGUUCUUAAGCUUCCAUUCAUGGUGUUGGUUCCUGGGAGAGCAGAGGUCAAGUCCCUUCUAAACCAUUAAGUUUUUUGGUGGCCAGUCACUCUCUUUCAGCUUAACUUACCUCAUAGGGUUGUUGUGGAGGUAAAAUAAGGUGGGAAGGGGUGAGAAUAGAUUACUUCUUUCACAAAUCAAAUUGCAGCAGGGGGAGAAUGGUCCUUCUCAGGGCAGCAAGAUAGGUGUUAGCUGGUUGGUGCAAGUGCACCCAUGGGUGCUGGUUUGGUAUCCCUAGGCUCUUAGGGCUGCCAUACAUCCAGAUUUUCCCAGACAUUACUGGGAUUUCAAAGGAGUAAUUGACGUCUGGGGGGAAUUUCCAAAAGGCGGUGCUUUGUCACAGAUCUUAGGCAAGUCAAUUGGAAAAUUGUGGGUCAACAAUUUCAGUGGUUUCGUAAAAAAUAAAAAAAGUUCUUUGUGGGUGUCCUGGUUUUUACUUUUUGAAAUAUGGCAACCCUACCCUAGGCAAGCCAAUAUAGAUCAUCAGUGCAUCCAUUGUAGCAGUUUGACCUGGCAGUUGUGCUUUGCAAGUGGUGUUCUGUCACUUUCUGUAUGGAGUCUGUCCUAUCGUAGAUUAUUCUCUUUAUUGACCUGCUUUUUUGGUCCACUUUUUGGAUCAUUGGCUGGGUAUUGUGAUUUAAGAAUAGCCUCUUUGUUUGUGCUGCAGCAGACUAACAUGGCUCCCCCUCUGUAAGAUGGAAGCAUUAAUAAAGUGCAUCAACCCUUGGAGAUAUAAAAGGUAGCCUGGGAAAGGCAGUAUUAUAGGUACUACUUCCUACAUCUCUGUAAUAAGGAGGAGAUCUAAACUGGCAAAUUAUAUAUUUGUUAAUUUAGCCUCAGUCAGAAUAUAAUUACCUCCCAGAGAUUAGCAGGUCUGAGAUCCCUCAGGCUGAUCCUGCACAGCCAUUGCCUCUAGCCGUUGCCUGCAGCCGCCAAGAUACCCAGUUUGGAACAAAUUGAAACAUUAUUUGGAGGCCAAGCCUUCCAGUCUUCCCAUGGGAUUCCCAGUAAACAUUUUGCAUCCUCUGUGUCCAACCAGCCAGAAAGGGCUAUUUAAUUAUCUCAAAUGACAUUCAUUAAUGAGUGGACCUCACCCUGAUCUUGAAGUGAUUCCGUGAUAUUCACAACAGAACUUGUUUUGCUUUUCUCUUUGGUCAGAAGUCUUACAAAAGGGACCAACAUUUCAGACAAGAGAGACAGAUUCACUAAGGUGUGGACAUCUACUUGUUGGUGAUUCUGAGUGGUUGGGAAACCGUCCGAUGGGAAUAACAACAACAGCAACAAUUUAUUAGGAAUGGACCCCAAUAGUGAUUGACCCUUCUCAUUUUUCUUAAUAUGACUGAGAAGCCAACAAUUUCCAUUCCCUAUAGAUACACCUCCAUCACCAGGUCAGAAACUAAUUUUCAUUCAGUUAAAUGGGUUUGUACCCACUGAGUUCUACUCUGAGUUCUACUCAGAGCAGAAUUGAUGGACAUGGCUAACUUAGGUCCUUUCCUUUAAGUGGGCCUGCUCUGACUCCCAAGACAGCAUAAUUUCCAUGCAUAGGUGUACUGAUGUUGAACUGGAUUUGGCUAGAGCUCUAUGCAUCAUUACCUAAAAAUAUACUAUGGAUUGGAUCCAGACUGUUAGUUGACUGUAAGUCCCACUGAACUUAGUGGGACAAGUGAAUAAUUAUGAAUAAUUAUGAUUUCACUGGACACUAAGUUCAAGUUAUAGAUGAUUUCACAGAAAAAUAAUUUUAUUCUGUUGUCAUGCUGAUGAGCUUCAAAAUGACAAAUUAUCCUAGGCCAGGCUUCCUCAACCUCAGCCCUCCAGAUGUUUUUGGCCUACAAUUCCCAUGAUCCCUAGCUAGCAGGACCAGUGGUCAGGGAUGAUGGAAAUUGUAUUCUCAAAACAUCUGAAGGGCCAAGGCUGAGGAAGCCUGUCCUGGGCUAAUCUAAAAGUGCCUCCCAUUUUCAACAGUUUUAAAGUACUUGCUCCAAACAUAGUUGUGUGUUGUUGUGAUGCAGUUCUUUUUGUUACCAUAUUCGUUGUCCCUCAACUUCAUUUUCCCCAGACUUCCCAAGAUGCCUAUUGGAUGUGGUGGUCCACAUGAUUUUGCAGGUGAUGCCAUGAUGUGAUGGCAUCAUGGACAGCCAUAAAUACAUUACAUGAACUUACCACAGACAAUCAGACUAAGGAGAACUGUGGACCAAUGAGGAUUACAAGAACAAAAGCAACAAAGAAAAAUGAAAAUGGCAGCAAGAAAUAAUAACCAAAGGAACAGAAACUCACAAAACAACACAAAUGUUUGAUGAGCAAUAAACACUCACACACACUUCCAGUGAUUUGGAUAAUUAAUCCAGUGUUCUAAACCUGACAGAACUCCUUCUGGAUAAACCCAUUUUAUUUAUUAACUAUACUUAGGGUUUAAUUUUUUUCUUUACACAUUUUCAUGGACUUAUUCUUACACGUUUGUUACCCCUGUUUUGGAUAGCCAUGGUGAAACAUGUAAAAAAUUAAUCAAUGAAAGAAACCUUGAGGGUUGAUGAACUGAAUUGCUCUUCUGUGACAAUUAUCACACAGCUUUAAGAGAUGAAUGUGUUGCACUUGUUUGUCCUGUAUUUCAUAAUGUGCAAAAGGCCUUUUGCAAAACCAAACAUUCUUACCCAAGAUAUAAUUUUCAAGUGAUUUUGCUAUGUACCUGCUUAUUUUAUCUUGUGAAAAAUCUGAAAUACUAUUUUCUUUAAAGAUUAGUUGAGUGUAUGUUUAUUCCCCUUAAUAACAGGCACCGUGUGACUGUGUUUUCUUUCACCACCUUGUGUCUGAAGCAUUGUGGGCUCACACCAUAAAAUCACAAGCUACAGACCUAAACUAAAAACUCUCCCUAUUUGGGGAAGGAGACACCCUGUGUUCAAGGUGAUCUCCUUCCCUCUGGCUUUGAAAAAGAAUCUCCCAAUUUUGCCUUUGUUCUGGUCAGUUUCACCUUCACUUGUGAUUUGCGAUGCCGUAAUAUCAUCAGUUAAGGAAAACUGGCCCUAGGCUGAGUUGAAUGUUUGAGAUCAAAGCAAACAGACUGUUUGGUUGCCCCACCUUUGUACCCCAUUUCAUGUUAAUUAGGAUAAUUUUGCAGUAUCUGAACUGCUGCAUAACUUGUAUCCAGAGUCUUGAAAAGCCUGGUUCCAAGACCUGAGAUCCAAGAGUGGCUUCAGGCAUUGUGUAAUGUGAGAAAACAGGAAGUGCAAGUACUUUAUGCUUCCUGCUCUUCAUGUUUCUCCACAACCUAGUAAGAGACACUUUCACAUCUCUCUGCUCUGUGAGCUGUAUGUGUUCCUGUCCUUUCUUAGCAAAAUGAGAAACUACAUUGCUGUCAGUGGAUGCUGGUCCAUUAGGGCAUAUGGGACACUGCCUAACCAGCCUCAGUCUUGAUUCCUCCAAACCACCGGCCUUCUUACAACCAGUCCAGAGGGUGGUCCUGGCUGUCUGCUUCUUCCUCAGACUCAGUUUUGCCACUGCAGAACUCAGUUUUGCAUGUAUAUAUUCAUAGGUCCAUUCCGUCCUAUUUUAAUGUCAACCUGUUAUUGGAGGGAACAUUCAUAUUAUUUUUGUAGAUAUUUUACCCUAAAUUAUGUGCUUCUAUAGACCCCUAUAGACCCUGAUGUUGGGAAAGAUGGAGGGCACAAGGAGAAGGGGACGACAGAGGACGAGGUGGUUGGACAGUGUUCUCGAAGCUACCAGCAUGAGUUUGACCAAACUGCGGGAGGCAGUGGAAGACAGAAGUGCCUGGCGUGCUCUGGUCCAUGGGGUCACGAAGAGUCGGACACGACUAAACAACUAAACAACAACAAUAUUCCUAUUAUCCUGAAAAUAUACAUUUUCAUACUUACUUUACUCAAAAACUGUAUUGUGCCAUCUCUGCUUUAUUUUGGCGACCUGCUGAAGACAUUCCUCCCUCAAGUUGAGCCUUUUAAGUAAAGAUCUUUCCCAGUCUGUGCCUAUAAUGGAAUUGGUUUUAUAUAGUUUCAUCACUUGUGUGUGUUUUGCCCUGGACUCCUUUAGGAGGAAGGGUAGGAUGAUGAUGGUGAUGAUGAUGAUGAUGAUGGCAAAAUGAAUAAAAUACUAACCCAGGAGCACAAAUCAGGAGAGUUUGCUUAAUAAUAUGGACCGAAUGAAAUUAUUCAGCAUCCUUACUUCAGUGUAAGGGAGAAGUAUGUCUGCAGUGCUUUCCAAAGUUGCCAAAUAAAAAGUUACAAACUGCAUUUCUUAUGUGAUGUAGCACACUACAUCUUUGGGGUGGAGGGUGGGGAGGUAAAACAAAUGACCCAGAAGAGUCUGCCCAAGCCAAGCCAAAUUAUCCUACAUUAUUCUUCUUAUUUCUUUUUGAUCUUAAACUCCUUUUUAUUUAUUUAAAGAUAAUGUUCUCUAGAACUUGUGUUCUUUUGAAAGGGUGAAGAAUUUGCAUGAACCAAUUUCUGUUAGUUCCCUUGAGAAUGUUAAAAACUUCAAUUAGGUCACUCUGAAGUCUCUUUUCCUGGGAGAAAUUCCUUAAUCUUCCUUAAUAAUGUACGUCUUUGAGUGUUGCUGCUGUUCAAGUUGCCUUGCAAUUUUCUUCAGAAGUAAUUAUAAACCAGCUAUGAUACACUUCAUAAUAAACCACGACUCUUAAGUAUAGUCAUUUUUUUUCUGGGUCCUGCAAAGCCAGAUGCUCCUGAUGCGACGACAGUACAUGACAUUGUUUUUUUAAUAAAGGAAUGUGCUGGGAAAUGUCAGGACGCCAUUCCUUAAGAAGCAGGAUGUUCUUCUCUAUAACAAUAUUUUAGUUAGCUAUUUACAAAAGUUUCUCUUACCUAAUUUAUUUUCUAAAAAUGGCAGGCAGCUUAUAAUAUGAAAGAACAUAAACAUGCUAAAAUCAACAAAAAGUAACUAUGUUUUAUAAUAUUGAAUCACAACCGCUUCUGAAAUCACUAUAACAGCAAAAGGCUAGAGGUGGAGAACCUUUGGCUCUCCAGAUGUUGUUGAACUACAACUCCCAUCAGCCCCAGCAAGUACAACCAAUGGCAGCCCAUCCAGUUUUGCAGACUGAGGCAAAAUUGAAACAUGCUGUUCCCUCUGGCUGCCACUCCUCACCCCCACUGGUAUUGCUACUCUCUUACCUGUGUUGUGUGGCAGCGGCUGCCACAAAACACCAACAGCAACACUUGUGGCCGCAACAGCAGUUUCCACUGAGAUCUUGGGGAAGCCUCACAAGAUCUCAGGUGCUCUGUGAGGUCUCACAAGAUUUUGGUGAGAUCUCGCUGGAAACCGCUGCUGGUGCCACUUCUCAGCUACAAGCAGAGACAGCAGUGUGGCAGCAGGGGCAUGGCAGGCAGUGCCUCUUGGGUUUCCACUGCUUGAGAAAGGCACCUCACCUUCCUCUCCAGUGGGUCAAACCUGAGUACGGCCAAAAGCUAGGGAUGGUGGGAGCUCAGCAACAUCUGGAGGGCCAAAGGUUCCUCACUACUCAUUUAGAGGAAGGCAACCCAGUUUCAGAUUGGGGUGGCAGAGACUGUAAACUAUCCACAUAAUAGCUGAAAAAGUAGUAGUUUUUCCUUGUCUAUAUAUUAUAUUAUUAUGUCCAUUUUGCUCAGAGCGUUCUUUACAUAUACUGGACCUCAAGGACCCCAUCUCCUCACAGGAGCAAGCCCAGGCCCUUUGAUCUUCAUCAGAGGUCCUUCUCCAUCUGCCUCAUCUAGGGAGGUGCAGAGGGUGACCACACAAGAACAGUCUUUUUCAGUGAUAGCUCCCCAUCUAUGGAAGGACUCUCCAGUUUAAAAAAAAAAUGCUUGGUGUUAUCGUCAGGUUUAAGGUGUAAGGUCAAGACAUUUUUAUUUACCCAGGCUUUUAGUAGGGUAGGGUAGGACUUCUCUGUCUGAUUGUAUUGCUAGGUGAUCAUUUUAGGAAUUUAGUGCGUACAGUGGUACCUUGGGUUAAGAACUUAAUUCGUUCUGGAGGUCCAUUCUUAACCUGAAACUGUUCUUAACCUGAAGUACCACUUUAACUAAUGGGGCCUCCCACUGCCACCGCACCUCCGCAGUGCGAUUUCUGUUCUCAUCCUGAAGCAAAGUUCUUAACCCGAGGUACUAUUUCUGGGUUAGCGGAGUCUGUAACCUGAAGCAUAUGUAACCCGAGGUACCACUGUACAUACUUUUAAAAUUGACUUUUUAUUCUUUUUAGCUGUUUGUAUUUUAUUUUAUUAAGUUGCUUGGAGACUUUUUGAAAGUAAGUUGACUAACAAAUGCAAUAAAUAAAUAAAUAAAUAAAUAAAUAAAUAAAUAAAAGCAACAACUCUCAAAGCUGGUUAACUCUCCUGUUACCUCAUCAAGGGUCUCUGCCACUAUGAGCUGGGGAGUCUCUCUUCUGCUUAAUGAACCUCUUAAUGAGUGCCAAGUUACCUUGCCAAUAGGGAUGAGGGAGAAAUUCAAAUCAGUUCACAUUGAAAGGAAAACUCACCAAAUUUACACUUCCUGAAACAAGACACGAACCAAAUUACCACUGUGCUUCAAAAAAAAAAAUAUUCUCCUAAUUUUGCAGUGCAUCUCUCCAGCAAAUUAAAAGGGAUAAAAAGGAUAAAGUGUGCAUAUAAAAGCAUAUAUUCAUAAAAAUAACAUACAAAAUACAUUGUAUUAGGGGGAAUUGCUUUGCAAAAAUUGUGCAUAUUGGGCAAAACUGCAUCCAAACUUGUUUAUAUUGGGGAACAUUUGCACUAAAAAGUCUCUAAUUUUGCCUUUGUACAGUAGGCUAGUUUCUACACACACAUUCCUACCCCUUUCUAUCGUCCAUCCAGACAAGCAAGAGCCAUUAUCUGAAUUAAAGGAUUAAUUCCACCGCAGCAAAAUCCUCAAGCAGGGCAUGGCCUGUGGGUGCCAUGGCCUGGGGAGAGUCCGAAGGGUCAUAUAGAAAGGCCUGGAGAGCCACAUUUGGUCUCCAGACCUGAUGUUCUUCACCCCUGUCCCAACAUGAUGUUGUUGUUGUUGAUGAUGAUGAUGAUGAUUAAACUGGUAUUCUGCCUUGGAUACUUAAGGUUCCCAGUGUGGGAACAGAACAGUACACUAAGAUAUAGAAAUCAAUAUACGAACCAUAAAUGGGAACCACACGUAUAUUGCCUUAAGUUCUGUGAUGGAAGAAAGCGAGGAAAUAAAUAUAAGAAAAUGAAAUAUCAAAUAUGUUUUUAAAAAUCAAGAAAUCAGAAAUUAAGACAACAUAGCAGCAGUUUGUUUCUUAGGAUAUCAGUCUAGCUGUUACUAACAGCAAGAAACUUUCAAGUUUGGUUUCAUGAAAUCGCCUGACCUAGAGUCAUUCAGCUCUGUGAAACUUUACAAUGUCAGUUCUUUCCUACUUCCCUUGAGUGCACAUACAGCACUGAUGAGUAGAACAUCUUCCGAGAAAUGCCAGAGGUUUACCACGAGUCACCGGGCAUCCCACUUGCAUCAAUAAAGAUUUUAUAGCAGCACCCCCAACCCCUGUAAUUCUGUGUAUUCUCAACGUGUUCUAAGCAGCAAUACAUCUAGCUAAGCUUAUCAGCUUCAUCACCAUGCCAAGUGCGAAACCCAACGUACUUGUCUGGAUACGGUCCAGAGAGUUGUUUCUGUUGUGAUCUUGUUGAUUUCACACCCAGCUCAGCUGAAACGAGAGUUCCAUCCUUUCUUUAAAUGGCUUCUGAAAGUAAUAAAGACAUGUUGCUUCCUUUCAAGCUGGCUUCUAAUUACACCUUGCAACCAUAUGUUGGCCUGGUUUCUCUCAAGCUUCCUUAGGAUGACUAUGGUUUUAUUAUUUCAAUUUAAAGGUGCUUCUGUUGUUAAUGACUUGGACAAUCUAGAUAUGUAUUUUCUCUAUUAAAUGAGGCGAGGAUCUUUUCUAAUCUGAGUUAGCGUGCUCAGUGCAUGAUCUCUUAGUUGUUUUACAGUGAUUGCCAUUGUAAUUGUCUUUCCAGUUCCCAUUGUGCCUUAAAACAAAUCUCCCCAACGGGUUGCCGAGGCUCUCUAUAUAAUUUCCUAUUGUGGUUAGAUGUCCUUUGGUUUAUGCAGCAGAGGAGUCAGUAAGACUAACAGCUUCUUAUGAGUUGCUACAGCCACUGGCGGACGAAGGUGGGGGUGGGGGAAGCAGUCUGCCCUGGGUGCCAUCCCGGGGGGGUUACAUUGUGGCCGCCCCCACCCCCUGGGAUGCUCGGCACUCACUGCACACCCCCAGGACAUGUGCCGCUCACCAAGCCCCCCCCCGACGUGAGCCACGCCCCCACGGACGGCACGUCACGCACCCUGGGGACGUCCGCCAGCCAUGCCCCAGGUGUAUGCCGCUCCCGGUGCCGGAGCAAGUAGCUUCGCCAUUGGCCACAGCAGCCCAGGAGCUCACACGGAUGUUUUAUACAGAGUUAGUCUUCUGGUCCAGCUAGUUCAGUACUGUCUACACUUAACAGCAGGAACUGAAUAGGAUCCAGACAUGAACCUAUCAUAGCCCUACCUGGAGAUGCCAGGGAUUAAACCUGGGACCUUCUGCAUGCACAGGUGCUCUACCACUGAGCUAUGUCCCUUUCCUGAAUGAUACCUCUGUCCCUUUCUCAGCUUGGACAUUGAAAGGUGAAGCAGGUGAGGAGUGCAGUACAGGGAGAGAGAACAUGAUAUUCUUGUGGAGAAGCUGGUGCAAUAUGGGGUGGACGAGGCUACUGUUUGGUGGAUUUGUAGUUGGUUGACUGACCACACCAAAAGCAUACUCACUAAUUAUUUCCUUGUCAUCCUGGGAAAAAGUGAAAAGUGGGGUGCCACAAGGUUCUGUCCAGGGACCGUUGUUGUUCAACACCUUUAUAAAUUACUUGGAUCACACACAGUGUGAUGCAGCAGCCCCAAAGCCCUAAUGCUAUUUUUGGCUGUCCCAAGCAGGAUUGCCAGCUUGACCCCACAAUCAUGGAUGCCCAGGGCCAUGGGUACCAUGCACUGUGCAUGGCCCUGGCGAUGAAAUUUGUGGGUGCCUGGCCCCUUCAUUUUGUAGGUGCUCAGGCACCCAGAGCCCCAGGGAGUUGGCACCUAUGAUCCCAAGCAAGGGAAGUAAUAGUACCACUCUAUUCUGCCUUGGUCAAACCACAUCUAGAGUCCUGUAUGUAGUUCUGGGCACCACAACUUAAGAAGGAUGUUGACAAGCUAGAACAUGUGCAAACAAGAGUGGCCAAGAUGAUCAAGGUCCUGGAUAAGAGGAGACUGAGAAAAGAGAUGAUAACUAUUUUCAAAUAUCUGAAGGGCAUAGAGCAAGUUUGUUUGUUCUUGCUGCAGAGGCUAGAAGCUGAACCAAAGGCUUCAAGUUACAAGAAAUGAGAUUUCUGACAGCUGUUUGACAGUGGAACAGACUUCCACGAGAGGUGGUAAGGUAAAGGUAAAGGGACCCCUGACCAUUGGGUCCAGUUGUGGCCGACUCUGGGGUUGCAGCUUUCAUCUCGCUUUACUGGCCGAGGGAGCCGGCGUACAGCUUCCAGGUCAUGUGGCCAGCAUGACUAAGCCGCUUCUGGCAAAUCAGAGCAGCACACAGAAACGCCGUUUACCUUCCCGCCGGAGCAGUACCUAUUUAUCUACUUGCACUGGAGUGCUUUCGAACUGCUAGGUUGGCAGGAGCAGGGACCGAGCAACAGGAGCUCACCCCAUCGCAGGGAUUCGAACCACCGACCUCCCGAACGGCAAGUCCUAGGCUCUGUGGUUUAACCCACAGCGCCACCCGCGUCCCUAUCUAUUAACCUUAAUGCAGCAUCAAAUUGGCUGCCUUUGGUCUUGAUAUAGACUUCUUUGCUUUCAGCUGUAGCUGCUACCCAUGAUGUCUAUACUCUGGUGGAAUCUACACACAUAUAAAAACCAUUCUGAAAAUGCUUUUUUAAAAAUACAUUGAAUUUUCCAUAAGGCUCGCCAUUGCCAUCUAGCGUCACAUUGUAUAUUGCACUUGAAACACACUUGAAACGUUUUGUUUGCAGCUGUAUGGCUGGGUCCUCUGAUUACCAGCUACUGGAAAUUGCAGGUGGGGGGAGUGCAGUUGUCCUGACGUCCUGCUUACAAGCUUCCCAAAGGCGUCUGGUUGGCAGUUGUGAGAACAGCAUGCUGGACUAGAUGGGCCUUUAGCCUGAUCCUGCAGAGCUCUUCUUAUUCUCAGCUGUUGGCUUAAAAAUAUUCAACAGAUGCAGUUUGUAUUAUAGCAAGAGAAGUUGCACUGGUUGAACCAGUUCCUGAAAGGCACCUUAAAUGCCCACAUACUUGUUUUUAAGUGAAGAACUAACCUCUCCUCUUGUUAUUCAUGUACUGCAGGAGAACAAGGGGAGGGCCCAUCUGAGCAUUGCUCAGGUGUGUGAAGGGGAAACAGAAUUUCCAUAGCCCAACUUUGUGUCCUUGUGGUCCCCACCCUUUUAAACUUCAGGGGCACAUUUGGACCAACUGAGUGCAGUGGAAAACAUCCUCUCUGGUAGGGUUGACCCAAGAUAUUUUGGCACCUGAUACAAACCACAAAAUGGCCCAUACCCCAGCCAAGGAAGAAGGUGAGUGAAGAUCUGCAUCAGGCAGGAAUAAAGAACUACACUGGGGAAAAUGGUAGGAAAAGACCAGCAGUGCCUCCUAUUUGCAAAGAAGCCACUGCAGAGGCAGCAUGGCGGGGGUGGGGAGGCUGCUGAGGAGGCAGCAGAUCUGGCCUUCAAGGAACAUGCCACUGUAGUAGCAGGUGAUACAUGCCUUGGAGACCAGAUCUAGCUGCCUUUGCGGAUACUACUGCCAGAGUGAGUUGCUUUACCUUGGUUUAUGGGCCCUCCCCUUGGUCACUUCUCCCCUCCCCCCCAAUCUUCCACAGAGACAGAAAGAGAGAGCAGUAGCAGCAGCCCCCACACAUGGAUGGGGAUCAGCAAACAAUUUAAAACUUUUGGAAGGGGUGUGUGACAGACAUUGUUCUUCACUUUCUCCCGCAAAUUGCAGUACAAAAUGAACCAGUGGGAAUUUGCACCUCACUAAAGGAAAGUAACUCCCUCCCAGAGAGAAGUAACUCUCUGAGGCCCAGUUCACAGUGGGGAGACAAUGGGCAAGCACUGUCGCGGCUUAUAUACACAGUGCUUAGCAAGAUUUGGGUGCUUUAUAGACGUUUUAAAUGAUGGAGACAAUGAAACCACAGGGCUCUCAAAAAAUAAUAAUAAGGUGGGAGUUACUUUUUUAUUUUAACUACCAUCUAGCUAAAAUGCUAUUUUAAGCAGGGUAACCCAAGUUGUUGUUGUUGUUGUUGUUGCUUUAAUUUUAAUCAUAGCAGAUUCCCCACUUGAAACAGGAAGAGAGGAAAUCCAAUAGUUGAUAAAUGCAUACUGUCAGGAAACACAAAUCUUUUUAGGAUGUACAUCAUGUAAUUGUGUCUCAGAGCCCCAUGACUUUUUAGAGUUCAGGGCUGUAAUUCUUGGAUGGAUAAAUCUGCCCAGUCUCAGUAUUUGUGUUUCUGGGAGGUGUAGGGUGCCGCAAUGGCUAAGAAGCCUAUAAGGCCUGACCUAGAAAGUAAACCCAGACAAGAGGCAAAAACCAAUGCACAGUUUCUGUGGUUGAAGAGCAUGGUCUCAGCCAUGCCAUAUAGUGAAAGUGCACUUAAAGCACAUGGAUUCCUCAGAGCUCUACUUUGUUAAAGGUGCUGGGAACUGUAACUUAGAGGAGCCCAGGAUUCCUUGGGGAAAGCCAUUAUUAUUAAAGUGGUAUAAAUAUGUUGUAUAGUGUGGAAGUGACCCAUGGCAGCACCCAAAGAGCAAGGAAGCUUUGGAAUGAUAUACAAGCUGAUGUUUCCAAACGGCAGAUGCACAUUGGGCACAUUACAGUAUUCUAGACAAGGUGUAACUUAAGAAGGCAUUUGCCACCAUGUCCAGAGAUGAAUGGCACAGUUGGAGCACUAGGAAGCUGCAUCACUGAAGCCACCACAAUUAAUAAUAAUAAUAAUAAUAAUAAUAAUAAUAAUAACAAUAAUUUAUUUUCAAUGCGACUUAUUCUCAAGUAAAUGUGUCUAGGGGUGCUACUAUUUUUAAUAUUGAUGCUUUACUAUUUUGUUUUACUGUUUUACUGUGGUUUAUUCAUGAUUUAAUUGUUUCAUGACUGUUACAUUUUGUUUUUGUAAGCUGCUUUGAGAGCAUUUGUUAAUAUUCCUGUUUAGAAGCAGGUAGUGCUAAUUCCAGCAGGUAUGUAGAAAGGGGCAUUUAGUUAAGUGUAAUGAGCAUCUUCUGUAUAUGCAAUUUAGCAAUGCUAUGUUUUUCUCCACCAAAGGGAAGGCCAUCGCUAAAUGGUAAGAUAUCUGCUUUGAAUGAUGAAGACCCCUUGGUUCAAUCUUCAAGAUCUUCAAGAUAGGGUUGGAGAAGACUAGACAGCCACUGGCGGUAAGUGAAGACAAUGUUUAGUUAGACUGACCCAAAUGUCUGACUCAGUAGAAGGCAGAUUACCUAUGCUCAAAGUGUUCUAGGAAUAGUUCUGAUAAAAUCAGAGAACUGGAUGGGCACCUGGAGAUAACCUAGUUCAAUCCCCUGUUCAAAGCAGGAAAUUAGAGCUAGACCUUCCCCAAAAUCUAGCUUUUACUUGAUGGCUGCCAGAGACAAAGGAGCCACAACUCCCCAUGGUAAUUGGUUGCCACCAUAAAGCUUCUCCUGAUAUUCCACUGAAAUCUACCUUCUUGUAGAGUAAACCCUUAGAUCUACUCACACCCUCUGAAGAAAACUUAUAUGGCAGAAAGGUAACAACCCACAGAAGAGAACCAUUUUUCCACACUCCCUCCCCACCUCAAUUCCCAUAGUGUUUUCUGAAUGUUUGAGUCCAUAGAAAUCAUUCCAAAAAUAAUUCUAUGGAGAAAAAAUAUUGUGUAGCUUCCUAGUAAAUGAAUGUGAGAGACUCACAUGAAUGUGGACAUUAUGCAAACCUGGUCCCAGAUGUUUAUGAUAAUUUUCCCCACCAAAAAAAAUUAUGAAAACUUUAAUGACUAUCCCUUACAAUUCAAUUUGUCUACAUUCAUCUCAAAAUAAAAUGGAGUUUUAGUGCAAACAAAAAUGUUCUGAGAAUGGGCAAACUGCAGAAUCACUAUGCAUCCACAUUCUAAAUGGAAACAGUAGACCCGGUUUUUAAAUAUGCAUACACAUAUAUUUCCCUUCCUAGGAUGCAAAUUGAUUUUCCAAAACAACUAUGCCAAAUCCAGUGUUUACAGUGGGCAAUCGGAUCAGUUAGUCUGGUCUGGGCAGUAGCAUUCCAUUGCCUUGAAGCAAACAAUGUGCAGCCUGAACUCUAAGUGACCCAGUUGUCUCUACUAAUCACUGGCUGAUUACUAGCUAAUCAGUGUCUUGUUUAGAGCAUGGAAGCCAAAAACACUUUGGACUGUGGGCUGCCUUUGGGAAGCAAGACACAUUUUUGCAAUUUUCAUUAGCAUGCUGCAAUUACACCAGAGGUGGACAAAGAAAACCCAGGGCUGAAAUCAAAGCAAACUAAAACCCGGAGCUAUAAAGGGACUCUGGCAACAUAUUAGAAUGACUAUAAACCAUCUCAGACGUCUGUUGUUCUAAAUAUGCUGGACCCCAGACUUCUAAGUCCCCUGGAGGCCUUAUUGUUGCCUUCUGUUCAGAACGGUCAUCUGAAUAGGGCUUUAGAAGGAACACAAAUCUUACAUCAGCUGGGGCUCUGUCUGAAAUGGAUCUGUGAGGCUCCUGAAGCUUGGUGCUCUAAGGUCUCCUUUUGGACUGCCCAUAGGAAAAACAAGAGAGGAAAGAGUGACAGGGCUAAGAAAAGUAAGAUUAGCAGGAAGAAGCAAAAGGAGAAAAGAGGAACAAGCAAGCACACCCUUGCCUCUGACCAAGAUGUUGUUCACAUAUCACUCCCAAAGAAUAGGUGGAAGUGACUGCUUCAUCUCUCCUUGGCCCUCGGUAUCUGCUCAGACAAGGGGCUGUCAACAAUACACACACUGCACUCCUCAACUAUUAAGAGUGCUUCAAAUACUGGAAACCCUACGAUCUUUUAAUCUUUCCGUUUCCUGGUCAGCACACCCAAGGAUACAUGCAGAUCCAAGAGCCUUGGAGAAAGAGAAAAGGAAGCUUCCAGCCCCCACAAAUCUGUACGUGAUAAAGUCAGCAUUGAGAGAGCCAGAACAGGGACAUAGGAAGCUGCCUUGUACUGAGCCAAGCCAUGGGUUCAUCUAGCUCAGUAUUGUCUACAGCUCUUCAGGACGUCAGACAUUGCUUUUCUCUGAGCCACAGCUGGAGGUGGCAGGGAUUGAACCUGGGACCAUCUGCAUGCAAAGCAGUGGUGAGUGAGGCCACAGGCAGAAGCAGACAGAGCAACAAAUGUAGAUUUUACCUUUGUACCGUUUCUGUGCACACAUACUGCUCUCUUUCCUCCUUCUAAGGGAGCAAGAAGCAUUAUCAGAAAUCAAGGUCACAUUCAAGCCAAGCAAAACACUCCAGAAGGGCAAAAAGGAACAGACGAGAGUGUGGCUUGAAAAGAGGGUGUCUUACCUGGUGAGGGUUUUGAGGGCCACACAGAGGGCCCCAUUCAGCCCCCAGCCCUGGGGAUCCACAGCCCUGGUCUGGCAGUGGCUCUCCAGGGUCUCAGAAAGGGAUGUUUCCAUGCCCUACCUGCAGAUACUUGGGACUGAACCAGCAACCUUUUGCAGGCAAAGCAAAUGCUCUACCAUUCCUGUAAAAUCUCUUCAGCAUCCUUCAGUAACUUUUAAUAGCUGCAUGGCCACCAGAAUUUUGCUUAAGCCCAAAAUAAAUUUUGGAGGUUUUUCCUCAGGAGAAAACAUCUGAGAAAUUUUGAAGGAAGCCAAAAGGAUCAAAGAGAAGCAAGAUUUCUCUGGAGAGUUCUGCACAUCCCUCGCUGGUUUGAGUUUGAGUUGUUUGUUUUUUGCUUUUGCCUGCUGUGAAAUUCAGAGCAAAUUUAGAGGUUCUUCCUCAUCUGAGAAAUGUUGAAAGAAGCAAAAUGCCUUGAUGAGACCAGUGGGAUUUAUUGGAGUCAGGAAGCCUGAUUCCCAACAAGGAUACAUUUGUCACAACCAUAUAGCCGUCCCUGGGUAAACAGGUGCUAAUUAAGUCUGUACCUAGGACUUCAAAAAGCAGUGCUAGCAGCUGAAUUAUCAGGGGAAAGUAGGGGGACCCUUAAUGAACGUCACAAUCUCCACCCCUUGACUCCUUCCUAUGUUUAGCCAAUCAUGCUUCUCCAUAAUGCUUCUGGCAACAGUAGCUAUGAAGGCCAUCAGAGGCCAGGUCCCCCUCCCGCCACCACUUAUAAUUCGGGCAGUGGGCAACAUCUGCAUUUGUCUGAAUAAGGCAACUUGAAAUCUUGGAUACAACCCCCACAAAUACCUUUAAAAAACAGAUUCUAAGACCCCAGCUCACCUUCUUGCUACCAACACGACUAUUAUUAUCUACCAUUUUGUUCAUCUGCUAACCCUUUACAAAAGAUCAGGCCAUCCCUACCAUUAAGUAGAGUCCCAAGUGGUGCAACCUGGACUGUAUCCUAGGGCCCUGAUGUCCAAGGCCCCACACCCAAUCCAUCCAUCCAUCCAUCCAUCCAGGGAGUUAGAAAUGAUGACAGCAGUGACAAACAGAGCCCCAAGUCAGCAGUUCGGUGUUGGCAUGCCAGGGCCCACUAGGGCUGAUCCUGCAACAUUCUUUGUUUCUUCCUAUUUUAAACAACAUUUUAUAGAUUAUUGGGUGGGGGGACAACUAGACAUCUACAUGUUUACUUUCUUCAGGGAUAUAGGAGAAUUCUGACAAAAACAGAAAUUGCAGUUUGUGUGUUUGUCUGAUGUCAGGUACUAAAGUGAGCCAAAUGAAAACAAUCAGUAUUCGUUCACAUCAUUGUCAUCCCUCUUUUGUUUUGUUUUUUAAUUUUAAUUUUUAUUCUGUUGUUAUGCACAUGACACCUAAUUAUACAUCCUCUGUUACAUUGCUUUGACAUUUCCUUUACAUUGAAUUGUAGGGACGCAGGUGGCGCUGUGGGUUAAACCACUGAGCCUAGGGCUUGCCGGUCGGAAGGUCGGCGGUUCAAAUCCCUGUGACGGGGUGAGCUCCCGUUGUUAGGUCCCUGCUCCUGCCAACCUAGCAGUUCGAAAGCACGUAGAUAAAUAGGUACAGCUCCGGUGGGAAGGUAAACAGUGUUUCCGUGCGCUGCUCUGGUUGCGCCAGAAGCAGCUUAGUCAUGUUGGCCACAUGACCCGGAAGCUGUACGCCGGCUCCCUCGGCCAAUAAAACGAGAUGAGCGCCGCAACUCCAGAAUUGUUCGCAACUGGAGUUAACUGUCAGGGGUCUUUUUUCUUUUACAUUGAAUUAAAUGCAAUGUGUAGUAUUUGGCAGAAACUGGACUGCAGCAGAACAGAAAAUGUGCUGAUUGUGGUGAAUACACGUUGAAAUGGAAACCACUGCCUUCUUACAUCCCUACUCAUUUUAUUACGUUUACUUUUAAAAAUAUAUUAUCCUUUUCUACAACAGCUGCAGAAGCGAACUGCAUUUUACUCUUGUAGCCAUGAGGAUGUGAUGAUUUAAUUGUGUUUAAAAUGCAAAACUGCACAUGUUUAGAGUAAGGUUACAAUAAGUCCCAUAUUUUCUGGACAUUUCCAGGAUUUGGCUGUUGUAAACAGUGUCUGGGCAAAAACUGCUUAGAUGGCCGGGAAUAUCCGGACGUAUGGCAACCCAUGUUGAAAGUGUAGAUUUUGGCAAAUUUCCUUAAAAAUAGCUCAAAAACUUCUCUUUUUUUGGUGAUAUCUUGCAAUGAAAGCUCAACAACUUUGGACAAAGCAACCUUUUUCAUCCGGAUUUUCACUUUUUGAAAUACGGCAACCCUAGUUUAGGGUAUUCUUUAAAAUAAAACAAGAAGUCAGGGAAGGAAAACAGUUUGGGGGGCAUUGCUCUGUUGGAGUCUAACAUCUCAGGAAUGUAGAAUCCUUUAUGAAGUAUAAAAUAGUUAGCAGGGGGUAGGGAGAGGAAAACUGUUUCUCAACAGAAGUAACACACACAGUUGUCUACAGUGGAAACCCAUAAAACUACUUUAUUCAGGGUCUAAAAGUACCUAGCUACAACACUGGAGCCUCAAGUAGAAAAGCUUUUGAGAGGGAGGCAGAGCGGCAGCAAGAUAAUAAAGGGCCUAAUUUAGUGGGAGAGGGCUGUAGCCUAGUGAAAGAGCAAGCACUUGGCAUUCAGAAGAUCCCAGGUUCAAUCCCUGACUUCUCCAGGUAACGCUAGAAGCCCUGGAGAGUCAUUGCCAGUCAGUGUAGAGACAGACCUGAGCUGGAUGGGGCCAGUGCUCCGGCUCUGUAGAAAGCAGCUUCCUAUAUUCCUAAGGACAGAGUGGUGUGUGCCAUUCUGCCUGCCCUGCUGCUGUCAGGUGUAGUGGAGAUGUACGUUGAAGGGGGGCACCAUCUUGCCCUUCACUGUAGGCUGGCCCUGAGAAAACCACAUCUCCUCCUACUGCCGUUUGGCACAGCAGCGACUGGUUAACAAUCCAGCUGCAUUGUUCAGGACACAUAGCCAAACAAAGAGGAGAGUAAAUAGACAAGACUUUUGAUCUGCUGGAAGGCAAGGAGACUGAAUGUCUGCAGCAGGAGAAUUCAUUUGACAAAUACACCCCAAGCUGCAAAUUAAAAGAAAACGGCCACUUGUGUUUUUUCAUUGCCAUUCCCCCCCCCACCGCCCCGUAUCGCCCCAUAAAAACUGGGGCAUAUGCUACACACAAAUUUGAGAUUAUCUGCCACUAUUAUCUAAAAUUAACUGUGGUUUUGUAAUGAAAAACAUUAAAAGGAGGAUCAGAUAGUAAUGGGGCCUAUUUAUAAUACUUGCUACAGGAAAAAGAGAGAGAAUCAGAUCUGAUGCUUUAAAUGAAACCAACAUGCUCCGUGUGUAGAGCAUAACAUACUCAUUGGCUGGCUUUCUGCUGCUUUAUUAACAACACGUAAGAGGGUGUUUUAUCACAUCCAUCAGUGGUUAGCAGAAAUGAAUCAACUGCAGAAAGACGCUCGUACCUCUUCAUGUCCUACCACUGUCUCUGUAAACAUAAUCCUUUUGAGAUGCUAACUCAGACAAAUGUAGACAAGUCAUGGAUUACCAAAACCACUUUGCUAGGUGAAGACACACUGACUGGGGGCAGGGGGAUAGAACACAGUCAUAUGGGAGUUAUGGAAAGAUGCUCUCGCCCCAUCUGUACUCCACCUUUAUUGCAGUAUCACAUCGCUUAAACAGCCAUGGCUUCCCACAAAGAAUCCGGGCAACUGUAGUUUGUUACAGGUGCUAAAAGUUGCUAGGAGACCCCUGUUCCCCUCAAAAAGCUACAGUUCUCUGUAAAGAGGCACUGAUUAUUAAACCACUCAAGGAAAUUUUGCUCUGUGGAUGGAAUAGGGUCUGCUGGACUAAGUUCCUGCUUGUGGUCUUCCUAAAGUAUCUGGUUGGGUUGGGUUGCCAUAUGUCUGGAAUUUCCUGGACAUAGCCGGAAUAUGGCAGUUGAAAACCAUGUCUGGACAAAUGGCAACCCACAGCUUUUGUGGCCAGAUUUUCACUUUUUGAAAUAUGGCAGCCCUACCACUGUGAGAACAGAGUGCUUGACUAGAUGGGCCUUUGGUCUGAUUCAGCAGGGGUCUUCUUAGGAUGGGACAUGUGGUGCACCCAACUCAGUCCUUGAACGCCUCACAGUGCCUCCCCACCCACCAGAUUCGCAUGUGGCAGCCAUCCCACUCUGCUUAAUGGCAGAGGUGGUCCUGCUUGCAAGAGAUUUUUCUUCUUACUAUUAUGGGCAACCACGUCAAUAUGGUUGUGUGCGUCAGCACCAAGGGAAGGAUAAGAACAACCUGGUCAUUUAUGAAAAAAUUAGUGUCUCCAUUUUUGCAGAUUUUUUGGUAUGCAUCAAAAAUUGCAAAAGGGGAUCCCCAAACACUCACCCCUUUAAGGACACUUAACAGAGCAGGCCAUAGGAAACAGAAAGGGGCCUUAUAUGGAUUCCAUCUGACUUUGUAUUGUCUACAUUGGCUGACAGCAGCUCACUAGGUCUGUCCCGGAUCUCUCCCAGCCCUUUGUGGAGAGGCUGGGAAUUGAACCUGGGAUCUUUCAUAUGCAACACAGAUGCUCUACCUCUGAGCUAUGGCAUUCCACUUGCUCUUGAUGCAAGACUGCAUCAGCUAGGAAACACUGUGCUCUGUGCAGCACCAUAAUAAGGGUGAGGGGUUAGAGUAAGGCAAGAAUUAGAGCCUGAAUUUUUAAAAUGCCAGCCCUAGCAAAGGGAUGUGGGGAAGUGUGUAUGGGAAGUGACCAUGUGGUGACCUCUUCAGGCAAGACAGCCACAUCCCCCUCUCCAGGUCAUAGGUGGGUCUCUCUCUCCCUAAUGGACAAGUGGUAACAAUGAACCAGCAAGAUGCAUCUGAUGUACUGGAAGAGAACCGCUUUGACUGGCACCCACAAGCUGAAUGCCUCUGAGCACAUGUAGGGAAAACAUAUCAUGGAAAAAGCAAAGGGCCAGGUAUCCCUGAGCACGCGCAGAAUGAAGGGGAGUGCUGCCUCAACUGCUGAUUAUAGCUCCAUGUUGUUAACUUGUAUUGAUUUUAAUGUGGAUACUGAUUUCGAAAAGCAGAGUUCUCACAGCGCCUCAAGACCAAUGUGGCACACGAGAAUGAAAUGUUUUAAUAAGUAAAUACUGUAAUACAUAAAUUUGGGUUACAGGCAAUAGAAUGCCAUGUGCUAGAACUGUUGACAGAUAAUAGAGAGCAUUGAAAGACUUGGAGGGAGAGGGAGAAGCAGAUGGGGUGACAGAGGGGGCGCUCAGUGUUCUUUCUUAAGCAUUUAGGCUGUGGUCGUAGGGAAUGUUGGCAAAUAGUUGGAGAAACCUGCAUCUCGGAUUGCCGGAAGGCGUUUGUAUAUCUGACCGCGUCUUUGUUUUUCAUUUUUAUAGAACCACUCUUAACUCUCCCUUCUUCUAUUUUUUUUGAAGUUUCCACAUGAGAAAUGUUUUCCCAGCUGUUGGAACUAAUUAGCCGACACAAGGAACGGCUUUGUUACAUUUUUUCCUCUGGAUAGGAGCGAAGUUAUUUCGUGCAAUUUUUAUUUAUUUUUUACACAACUCUGCGGCGCAAUGUGCUGCAUACAGAGCAGUUUAUUUAUACUGCUUUAUCUCACACCUGUUUGGAUCCUGGCUGUUUUAUGGUAUUUAAACAUACUAUUUCUUGCCAAUUGCUUUAUCUCCACAAUUCCCCACGUUUGCUGCAAAUGUUUCUUAUUAACUCUAAAAGGAAACUUCAGUUGCUCCCCAAGCAUGAUUAGCACGGACAAAAAUAACAUAAUUGAUAGUUACGUCCGAUGUGUUAUCACUGAAGACCUAUAAAGCAGGCGUUCUUUUAGAAUACUAGAGGAGCUAUUUGACUUCUCUGAGAAGUAAUAAUGCGUAUGGGAAGCACUAGCUAUUUCUGGGGGAGUUUGUUUUUCAGUGAAAAAAUACUGGAGCUUGUUUUUAAGUCCUUCUUUCAUUUAUGAUCAUUUUAGGUCUGGUCUUACGUACAGAAUGAGUUAAUAGAAUCCUUGGGGUGUCAAGUGGACAAUUGGGCUCUGCAACAAAACACUGCAGCUUAGAGAGUUGUUCUUCAGGAUUCCAGCCACCCCAUAAUUCCUCUCUAGUUUUCUUCCCCCACACUGUGCCUCCAUCAAUCAGGCAGCAUUCCAGGGCUACUGAGCAUGCUCAAUCGUUAUUGGGCUGUUUGGAGGGAUCCUUCCCUAUGGAUGGGGAAGAAAUUUAAUUCAGUAUAAAUUUAAAGGUGAAUCGCCCUAAUUCGCACUUCCCGAAACAAUGCGAGAACCAAAACACAGUCUUCCUUCAUGAAUGCAUUUUUCUGUAUUUUGUAAUGCAGAUCUACAGCCAAGCAAUGUGAAUAUUGUUAUAGGUUGUAGGCACUAGAACAUAAUUAAGGCAUCAAACCCCCAAGUGUUAGAAAGGGUGGUGUCUGUUUGAAUCCAAUUCUGUGACUAUGGGGGAAGCAAGAACCUCUUGGGGUAUGGUUGCUGCGAGCCUCUCAGGUUGUUUAUAUGUGUAUAUAAAGCAUAUAUCAUAAAGACCCCACAGUCUUCAGUGUGCUCCAUUUCCAAAACAAAUACAAACCCUGGGUAACACAUGCCUGGAAUUCCCUGAAAUCUCACACUGCUAUGGAGAUUGGGGGUGUCGUGUAACAAUAUAAUGCAGUAAAGUGUGCAUUAUAAUGCAUAUAUUGGUUGAAAUAAUGUACGAAAAUGAAUGGCAAGAGGGGAAAUUGCUUUGCAAAAAUUUGUAUAUUAGGCAGCGUUGCAUACAAACAGAUGUGUAUUAGGAGAAAUUUGCACUCAAACCCUGAUAAAUUUUCACAAUGACUCUUUUUUAAAUUGCAAACUGAUCUGAAACUGCGGAGAACUGAACUUAAGUUAGGAAAAAAGAGAAAUGGAUAGAAACCAAAAUGGACAGAUUUGACUCUCCCUUCCUUCCCCCAUAGUGUUUAGAUCAUAGAUGAUAGAAUCAUAGAGUUGAAAGGGACCCUGAGGAUAAUCUAGUCCAACCCCCUGCAAUGCAGGAAUAUGCAGGUCUCUUAUAUGGGGAUCAAACUUGCAAACUUGGCAUGAUCAGCAGCAAGCUCUAACCAACCGAGCUAUCCAAAUUUUCAUUUUGUCCAGCUGCAAACCUUGGGGCAACCCCCAAACCUACUAAUACCUCUUUCUUGUGCCUGGAUGACGCCAUUCUGGCUACAUAAAAUAACACUCACAGCCUGAUCAUCUGAAAUAGAAGAAAAUAUAGUACUGUUUCAAACUGCAACUGGGUAAUAGUAUUUUUAAUGCUCUGCUACAUUAAAAAUAGACUCCUUGCAAAUUGAAAACUACCAUAUCAUGGAGAGAAGUUCAGGCCCAGUCUUCUGCCAGCUGUUCUAGGGCCACAUCCCCACAAUCCUUUUAAACACUCUUAUACAACUUUAAGCACAUACAUUGAAACGUAAGAAGCUGCCUUAUACUGAGUCAGACAACUGGUCCAUCUAGCUGACUGACAGCAACUCCUCCAGGAUUUAAGACAGGGAAUCUUCCCCUGCCCUACCUGGGGAUGCCAGGGAUUGAACCUGGGACCUUCAGGAUGCUGUGGCCUUUUAAAAGUCAUGUCUCCCCCCCCCCAAGAAUCCUGGGAACUGUAGUUUAUUAAAGAUGCUAAGAGUUGUUCAGAGAAGCUCAACAGAACCAUGUGGGAACACUGGCCCUGUUCUUACAUGUUCCUAUAAGCACUAGUAUCUUGCACAGGUCAGCUAGCUAGGAAGCUGGGGUCAGAUUUAGAGCGCAGUUUUCAUAUAAGUCAGAAGCUAUUAUUAGAAGGUUGUGAUGGAAGCUCAUCACUCUCUUUACUGAUAGCUCUUUAUGAUUCAUUUCUAGCAAUCCUGCUUCAAAAGGACGUGCCAUAAGAGCCUCCCCAAAGGGUCUCAUUUGCUCUCCAAACAAAUGUUUUGCACACACACACACACACACACACACACAAAUGCUCCGAUUCAUUCUGUAUUUCUGAAGUAGCUUCUUUUAUCCACAGCCAGAAUACACAUCCUCUUCAUUCUUUCUUCCUCCACCCCCCUUUUUUCUAAUUCACAUCACUUUCCCCUCCUUUCCUGAAGAUUUUUCUGGGCUUUGCUCAAAGUUUCUAAUCACUUUCUCACAGAUGUAGUUUUGGAGCUAAACACUGCAUUGCCCUUUUCUUAUUAAGGAUAAAUUUGCACACAUUUUGGGGUCUUGAAAUAACAGAAACAAAAAAAGUCAAAGUCAAAUAAAAUGCAAAUGGCUCAGAGUUUGAGGUUUGCAUGUCUUUGUAAUAGCCCAAAGUAACGGCUUAUAAAAGAACUUUAAAGGACUGAGUGCAAUGUCCACUCACCAUACAUUUCAGUAGGGGUUAGGCUCAUCAGCUAGAAACAUAAGAAGGCCUUGGUGGUGAUGGUGCCACCAAGAGCUGCCAUCUUGGUGUUGACCUGUAACAGGACCAUUUGUGGAAUGCCUUCUCUAGUGAAGUGCACUGCCUGUUAUUACUGAUGCUCAGGAGGUAUAUGAAAACAUUCCUGUUUACCCGGGCCUUCAAAGGCUGAACAACAUUGUUCUGGCAACCCUGAGAUCACGGAAUGAAAUCAUGUUUUUACUAUUUACUCAUUGGUUCAGGAAGUGAAAACUGGGUAGUUCCUCAUUAAAAUGCAAAUAAAAUCAAAUUCCUCCCCCCACCCCCACCAGUCGUAGAUGAAUGAAUGAUUAAACACCAUGCCAGAAAAUCAGAAUGAAUGCUCAUUAUAUUAUAACCUCCCUGUAAAGAAAACAAACAAAUGCUCAGGAAAUCCCUGGUAUAGUCUAAACCAGUUGUGGCUGGUGUCCACUGGAACUGGUAGAGCAGAAGACAUGGAGACCAACAGUGGGUGGAGCCAGAGCAAAUAACAGGUUUAGUCAAUUAAUUCCAGUUUUGUCCCCAUUCUCCUCCCUACUGAGUUCUACAAGCACGACAAUGAAACUGAGAAGGAGGAAGCUGACAGCCAGGGUCACCCUCUGGACUGGUUAUAAGUAAGGCAGACAGGUGGGAGUUGGCUGCAGAUAGACUGGGCCUCCACUGGCCAAACACCUGUGUAAGUUCUGUGCAAGCAAAUCAGAAUGAACGGUCAACAAAUAGGUCAUCUGGAGGAGCCCUUUUGAAACCCUGAAAGCUCAGGGAAGGAACAGGAGUGAGAUGUGUAUUUGAAAGGAUUUAUAUGUGAGUUCCACUGCUAACACACUGGUUGGUAUUCAACUAAGUUUUACUCAGAGUCGACCCAAUAAAAUUAUUGGAUUUCAGUAGGUCUACUUUGAGUAAAGCUUAGCCCAGUGUCAUAGAAUCAUAGACUGGUAGAGUUGGAAGUGACCCAAAGGUAAUCUAGCACAACUUCCUGCAAUGCAGGAAACACAGCUAAGGAAUCCCCAACAGAUGGCCAUCCAACCUCUGUUUAAAAACCUCCAGUGAAGGAGAGUCCACCACCUUCCAAAGUAGUCCAUUUCAUUGUCAAAUGGCUCUUACCAUCAGGAAGUUCUUCCUAAUGUUUACCUGGAAUACCCUUCUUGAAUCCAUUAGUUCGGGUCCUACCCUCUGGAGCAGCAGGAAGGAAGCUUGCUACCUCUUCCAUGUGAUAGUUGAAGAUGGCCAUCACUCUCCUUUCAGUUUCCUCUUUUCCAUGCUAAACAUACCCAAUCCCUCAACCGUUCCUCAUAAGGCUUAGUUUCCAGACCCUUUAUCAUCUUGGUGGCCCUCCUCUGCACAUUCUCAGCUUGUCAGUAUCCUUCUUAAACUGUGGCAAGUUCCAAUGCUCACAAAUUCCUCAUCAGAUCAUGUACUCAUGUACUAUUCUGCAUCUGACCCCAAGGUUCUAGUACUCUUGGGUUGGGGUGUUGGGGUGGGUGGUUUUUUUUGAGUGGGGGGAGUUGUUGCUGGGGUUUUUAAAUAUUUAUUUUAGAUGUUGUGAUUUAUGUGGAAAUUGUCCAGUUUAAUUGUGUGUGUUUUUAAAUGUUUUAUUUACUGUUUACGACUACUUUCAUUUUGCUGUAGUUAUGUAUUCUUUUCAUGUUGUAAGCUGCCUUGAGCAUGGUUGCACUGUGAAAAGGCAGAAUACAAAUAAAGUUAUACAUGUAUGUAUGUAGUGAAAAACACAGUGGAUCGCACAAGCCUAAAGCUCUGGUGUAGUAGUUAAAGUGUAAGUCUGGGACUGUGAAGUGACUAGAGUUCAAAUCCCCACUUAGCCACAAAGAGCAGUCACGGGGUGACCUUAGACCAGUCCUCCCGAUCUCUCAGCCUAACCUACCUUCCAGGGUUGUUGUGAGCCCAGAGCUCCUUGGAGAGGAUAAAAAUGUAACCAGUAAAUCAACGCAUUUGACAUCCAUACAUAGCAGCCAAUAAGGCUGCUUGUAGUUUAUUAGCAUUGCACGAAGAGGCUGGCUGAAUUAAGUCCAGCCUGUAGGAAGGUAACAAAGGCAAUAUAAAGCUGUCUGUCCAGCCCAUGCCUAAAGCUGACAACCAAGAUGUAACUCACCCUCGUCUUCGGCCGUGCUGACAAGCCCAUCUCAUAACCAUCCUCUGCCAACAGUUGGCAGGUUUACAGUCCCGUAACUCAGCCAGCUCAUUGCUCCACGCUGCCACAUGAGCGGCAUUUCCAUAACCCCCAAACAGUUAAUUCCUGGCUUGACCGUGCUACAGUACAUGGAAAGUUUCUUUUCUUUUCUUUUUUUGGUAAAAAGCAAGUCACGAGAAAAGGGGGCUACUCCCUUGCACAUGAGGGAUAUGCUGUAAGCACGCACACCUCGACAAGCAAUGAAAACCAGCUGCCCAACUCCCAGCUGACAUUACGAGCCAUGAAUCCACACUGCCCAAGAGCGAGCCUGCUUCUCUGGAGCUGUGAAUCUAACCUAUCCCUUUUGCUUAUGAAGCGGUGAGGGGGUGUGUGUGUGUCAUAUAUCUCCCAUUAUGGAAAUGCCUCCUCCUUCAUGACACAUGGCAGGGGAGAAAGAGAUCUGUGGCUCAGUGGUAGGGCAUCUGCUGCAGCUGUUCUUCUACCACUCUGUUCAAAAUGAUGUUUCCCCACAUGGAGGGCUAAGGAAAGAGUGCAAUUACACAUCUGUAUGAUUGAUCCCCAUGGGAGCACAGAAAGCUGCCUUAUACCGAGUCUGACCACUAGCCCAUCAAGCUCAGACAGCUGCUCUGCAUGGUUUCAGACAGGGGUCUCUCCCAUUCCUACUUGGAGCUGUUGGGGAUUGAACUUGGGACCAUCCACAUACAAGGCAGAUUGUCCACCACUGAGCUACAGCGCUUCCCCAAUUUGAACCUCCAACAUGACCCGAUGCUCACGCUGUGGAUUGUAGCCAACUGAGUUCUAUUAUGAGUAGACCCAAGGAAAUUAAUAUACCAAAGUUAAUCAAGCACAUCACUUUGAAUAGGUCUACUCUGAGUAGGUCUAGUGUUGGAUACAACCCAGUUGCUUUAUUAAGAAAUGGAAUGAUACAAUCUCAGUUCAGUCUCUCAGUCCUUCUGGUGGUAGGACACCUAGGGUCUGCAAAGACAAAGGGGAGGAAAAAUGAAUUUCUGGUUUCUCAUUCCCCACUCCAGGAAUAAAGUCCUAGAGGGUCUGCAACAGACAGCUCGUGUAUUUUAGCUUCUUUAGGAUACUUCAUCGUGCAGAAGAGCUGUUGCAGGUACUAGGGCGAUUACAAAAAAGUUGUUCUUUAACUGCCUGAGGAUCAUUAAUGGAGGCAUCUAGAGAAAAAUUGACAAAAGGCAGAAAAUGCCUUUAAUUAUUACCUGUCUCCUUUUUAUGUUUUCAUUCUGUAAUUCUUUGUCGUCUCCCCUCAUAGUUUCACAUCCAUACUCAACGGCAGGGGUGGGUGGGAAACCUUUUUAACUCUAGGGCUGCAAUUCCUUCUGAGCAAUCUUCUGCGGGCCACAGCCAAUUGUAGGCAUCUUCCUGCAUGCAAACACUAUCCAUGGAAUAUAGGAAGCUGUGGAAUAUUCUGUAGUUAAAAGUGCAGAGAGGCAGAUAAGUACCACUAACCCUUCCUGCUAGUUGCUACAGUUUACUGGGAUGGGCAAGUCAAGGAGGUCAGCAUGAUACAGUUACCCCAAUGGAACCAAUUCAACACUCCUGCUGGUGCAUUUUUUGAAACAUACACACAUACAUACAGUCGUACCUUGGAUCCCAAAUGCCACAAACUCAGAAGUGAGUGUUCCAGUUUGUGAACAUUCUUUGGAACCCAAACAUCCAAUGCGACUUCUGCUUCUUCCGCCAGGCUGCUGGAGCCUUUUGGAAGUCGAAUGGACUUCUGGAACGGAUUCUGUUCGAUUUCCAAGGUACCACUGUACUUUUAUUUCUAUGCCAUAUACUAUUACUUUGUACAGUGGUACCUCUGGAUGCAAAUGGGAUCCAUUCCGGAGCCCCAUUUGCACCCUGGAGCGAACGCAACCUACGUCUGCGCGUGUGCGGGUCACGAUUUGCCGCUUCCGCGCAUGCACGUGACGUCAUUUUGAGCAUCUGUGCAGGCACGAGUGGUGAAACCUGGAAGUAAUGCAUUCUGUUACUUCCAGGUCGCUGUGGAGCAUAACCUGAAAAUGCUCUACCUGAAGCAUAUUUAACCCGAGGUAUGACUGUAUUUUUAUCCUGUGAACCGCCCUGAGAUCUUGCGAUGAAGAGCAGUAUAUAAAUCUAACCAAUCCAUCCAUCCAUCCAUCCAUCCAUCCAUCCAUCCAUCAAUCAAUCAGUGUUAAGAGAUAGCCUGGAGAAGGUAUAAACUGCAGUGGGUUGGACAAAUUGCUGCUGUUGAGAUGAACAUUCUUCUUAAGUUCUUAUUUUUGUUGUUUGAAAUACCAAAAAAGAAUUUGAGACAAGUGGCACAAAAUGAUUAGAGGCUUUAUGGAGGCAAGAAAGAAAGCAGGCAUUUCCUUUGACACACAGACAUGCACAAAAUAAAAGAGGGUUUGGGAGUUCCUAAUAUAGUGAUUUAUUAUUAGCAUCACUUAUACUAUAUUUAGUUGCAGUCUGAAAUGAAGCAUGUAUCUGAUUUGAUCUAGCACAAAGCAUUUUGGGCUGAGUUCAGGGCCUUUUCUCACAACAAACAAAAAUGGAGGAUCAAAAAUAGGGAUAGAUUAAAAAAAAGAAAAAACCUUGGCAUUGUAAUCUGCACUGAUUUAUUCUAACGCCUAUCUCAAUCCUUAAUCUUGACAAGAAUUGAGUUUUCCCUCCCCCAUUGUCAAUUCUGCCAAACAAAUGCACAAUUUUCACAUACUGCAUGCAUUAUUAUACAGAUAAUGGUAUAUGCAUACACACACCAGGUUCCCUAACAUAACCAGCCCACAAACCGAUACCUGCAGUCAUGCAUACACCUGUAUAAAAAUACAUAUGGACUGAAAUACUCUUUCCUUCAAAACGCAUUGGAGGUUGUGCUCUGAGAGGAAUUUUCAAAUUCACUUCAAAUUUUGUUUUGGGUGAAGCUUCAGUAGCAAAUCCAAGAAAUACAAUUGCUAAUCAUAUCUCAUUACAUUCUGUAUAUUAUAUUUAUUUUUUAACAGAAAGAAGCCGUGCUUUUCUAUAACUAUAGUCUUUGGAUGUAAUCUUAGAUGUAUAUUUUUGUGCCUACCAUGAACGAAUCUAAUUAAACCUCUAAAGUGCCUCCUCAUUGACCUAAAACUCUUGAAAGCUGAAGGCUGGAGCUUUUUGAUCAUGCCUAGGAGCAAUUUACCUCCCCCCCAACCCACCGGCACCCAUUUCUCCCCUGCCCAAUCUCUCUCCUUUGAAUACCUAAUCCAAUGAAGAGUCAGGGAGCAUGGGAUCUGUUGUUUUCUCUGUCUCCCAAUUCAGAUACAAACCCUGUGCUUCCCAGGAUGAAACAAUAUCCCAGAGCAUCUCUAAGAACAUGAGGAUGAGAGCCAGUGUGAUGUAGUGGUUAAGAGAGGUGGACUCGUAAUCUGGUGAACCAGGUUUGCGUCUCCGCUCCUCCACAUGCAGCUGCUGGGUGACCUUGGGCCAGUCACACUUCUCUGAAGUCUCUCAGCCCCACUCACCUCACAGAGUGUUUGUUGUGGGGGAGGAAGGGAAAGGAGAAUGUUAGCUGCUUUGAGACUCCUUAGGGUAGUGAUAAAGUGGGAUAUCAAAUCCAAACUACUACUACUACUACUACUAUUCUUCUUCUUCUUCUUCUUCUCCUCCAGAAAACCCUUCCCAUCACCGAAAGGAAAGCUAGCUGCUAGAGGAAGUGGGGAUGAGCUUCAUUGUGAGCUUGGCCUGGAUUCAGAGGCAUCUGACCCUGGCUUGUAAAGAGAUGAGGUUUUCCUAAUUUGCCACCGCCACCCACACCCCCUAUUGCUUAUUUCUUUAUAACUUUUUUUGUUGGUCCUAAUAAAGGUAUUACUCUACCAUUACAGUUAUGAGUGUCAUCCAGCUCUAGAGGGUACUUCUGUGCCUGGAAGGGUUGUGUGUCAGGGAGCCGCUUGACAGGUGCAUUGACAGCCCUGCCAAAUUUUGCCCUUUCAUGCAGCAAUUAAUUAAAGACAAAGGAGACGUCUUCGGGUCAGAAAUUGGCAGUCUCAGUCUUGCUAUGUGGCUGCAAGUUCUGCUGUGUAACAUCUCUCCCUCUUUUGAAGUAUAUGCUUUCCUUUUCAUACAUCGAACAUGGAAAGGGCUGUCAGAUGAUGGCGUAUUGGCCACUUGGGCCCUGAAAUGGGCAAGAAAAGGCAUUGCUCGUUAUCCUGUCAAGGACUCCCGUGCCAGUCUAUGCAAACUGAUUUGCAAUCAAUGGCAAGUGAUUACGCAUUGUUUCCUAUCGAUUGACACAAGGAAUCCUUGAGAGAAUAAUGAGCUACAGCUGAUGACAAUCAAGAACUACUGUCUCAUGGCAAGUUUGAUUGCACACUCCUCCAUGGAGGCAAUGAACACUCAAUACCACAAUGUAUGUACAGCACACAUACAAACACAAAAUUAUAUAUUGUUGCAGGCUCAUCCCACUCUCCUGGGCACUAAAGAAUUCUGGAGAUGGCAUCACAGGGUUUCAUUUCCUUUGGUUCAGACACUUAUGGUGACUUUGUUGUAACAUUUGCUUCAUUUACAAAUGGGCAAGCAUUGCUCAGCCAGGGCAAAAUACCUCUCCAACGGGUCAGCAGAUCCUCAAUCCCACAUGAGAGCAGGUUUUGCUGCCUCCACCAGGCUGCAUUCCAGCUUAGCUAACUACACUCUCGGUUCUGUUCUCCGGCUCAAACGGAAAAGUCUUGUUUCUCCCCCUGAUCUAAGACCACCCUCACCCCACUGGAGAUGCUGGACAAUUUCAAUGGAAAUAGGAGCAGAAAUUGCCAGUGUCCACUUAGUCACCCAUGUCCAGAACAUGAAUCAAUCCAAGGAAAACAAUCCGUAUUCACUGCUGCUGCUGCUGCUUCCAGUCCACCAACUAUCCAUAAUUGAUUACAUUCCUCCCCUCAUUUGCACUGCAUUUCCUUUGCAUUGAAAUGAAUGGAGUGGAAUAACAUAAUCACAAUCUAAUUUACAUAAUUAAUUAUGUAAGUUUUGUAAUUUCAUCACAGUUGACAGCAAGAGACAGGUUUGGGUGGAAGAUAAACUGCAGCAGAAUGGAAAUAGCGCUGCAUGUGAAGAAUACAGUGUGGAACAGAAAAAAAUGUCUCCUUACAACCCUACCCCUCUAUACUCUCUGGACGAUGUAGACCACUUGGUGAUACUCUUCUGUCAUACCUUUUCAGUUCAGCACCUCUUUACUGUUGAAGUACUAUUUUAGUAGAAUCCUCAAUUUAGGGGGGAAAAAACUUUUUUAAAUUGCACCAAUCACUUUUUUGUUGUUAGUAGUGGUAAUAGUAGUAGCAGUAGUAGUAAUAGUGCUUAAGCAACAAAAAGCAUUAUAGCAUAAUUUUGUUUGAUUUUUGAAAGGAACAUAAGAAGUAGGGGCACAUUCAUUUCUCAAUACCUCCUGCUGAGUUUUAUGAGACAUAAGAUUGGGGGUUCCUUGCCCUUCGGCUUCAAAAUCAGGAGGUGAACUGACCUCAACUGACAGGGAACCCAUGAGUGAGGGUGUCACUUGGGGGAGUCUGAAAUAUGAGGGGCAUUUCACUAUUAAUCUAAUAAAGUAGGAGGAUAUAAUGAAAUGUGCUUGACUUGAGAUAAGAGACACUGUUCCUUUAAGCUGCUCACUAUGUGUGUACCAGAGGCUCUCCUUCCUGUUGCUGAAGCUGCUGCUGCUGCUGCUUAGAGGAGAAAGAAGAACUACUGCUCAGUGGUGGAGCCUCUACCUUGCUUGCAGAAAGUUCUGGGUUCAAUGCCUGGUGUUUCCAGGUAGGACUGGAAAAUAUUCCCAUCUCCCAAACUCCGGAAGGAUGGUGCCAAGUCAACAUAGGCCAUACUGAGCUAGAUGGGCCAUUGAUCUGACUCGGUAUACAGCUGGCCCCUAUCUUCCUAUGCAACAAGAGGCACAUUUUUUUGGAAAGGUGUCCUGUGCUUUUCAAUUCCUUUGGUUCUUCUAUGGCAGAGGACUCCUUUGUGUUUAACCUGCUGUGGACAUCUAUCUUUACAGAAGCUAAAGCAACAGGGAAGCUGUAGCUCCAUUAAUUGUGCAUUUGCUCCUUCCUCAGUCCUCCCGUGUAUGUGGCAGAGGUGGAGAUAUUUUUUAGCAUGUUGUACUUCUACAGUCCUCAGGACUCCCCCAAGUAUGCAGAUACGACCUUCCUCUUUGUGGAAAGGGCCACUUUGGCCACAGAGUUGUCUGCACCCACCAUCUUGAGUUUGCUAUGACAGGGAGUGGUUGGGCAAAUAGGCUACUGGGAUAUCUCUGCAGGUGUCUAUAGAUGCAGUUCUCCAAGGAUUGUGGUAGUUAAUGUUAGACUCUCCUCUCCAGCAGAAAUUUCAAACAGAAACAAUGACCACUUGAAAAGCAAACAUAUAAAUCACUAACAUAAUGUAACUGUCCUGACUUAGAGUUUUAAUUAAAUACAGGGAUUUAUGAGCCUUUAAGAACCAAUAAGAAGCGCUCCUAUAAAGUGCAGUGACAUGUACAGGGAGGUGCUCAGGAGGAAGCAGAGACAAAUGUGAAAUAGGAAAGGGAGGCAGUCAAAAUAGAGGGUAUGAUUCCAAGUAAAGUGUAGCUAAAAACAACAACAGUGUGAGGAUUCUGAGAUGGGGGAGAAAUUCUGCUUCAUUUGCAUUUUAAGGUGAAUCUACCUAACUCAAACUUCCAGAAACAAUGCGGACAAAUAUGUCCAUCCCUACUUUCAAGCAAAGAAAAUGACAUCAGAUCUAAUUUGCCUUUUAGUGUUUGAAUUGUGUUUAAUAUCCUACAUCUCUCCCUGUCCGUUUGGUAGCAUUUGUAGCUUGUUUCAGGCAGAGUCUGAUCAUUAAAAUGAGCACAUUCUUCCAUAUGCAUAUGAGAUCCCCAUGGGAAGGGUGACACUUAGAAUCUUAUUUGCAAUUAUUUGUUUUGGAAAUUAGGUUAUGUUGAGGGUUUUAAAAACAAAAACUUAGACGCUCGGGGGAUUUGUAGCCUAACUGCUACUUAUUUUUCACUAAAUCAGGGGAAUAAAUGUUUCAAGUAAAACAGCAGAGGCAAAACUCCUGAGUCACAUACAUUCUCCACUAGCUCUGCCAGAGGUAUGCCUUGAAUAUUACCCAGGCAGGGCAAAGUGAACCACUGCUGUCCUAACUUCUCUUGGCCCAAUGUCUCAAUAUAGUCCACCCUCCCAUUUAUCCAUCUGUCUUCUUCAAGUCUGAGAUACACAAAAUAGGAACAGGUAUCCAUUAUCUGGUAUCAAUUCUGUGUACAGUGGAACCUUGGUUUUCGAACAUAAUCUGUUCCGGACGUCCAUUUGACUUCUGAAACAUUUGAAAACCAAGGACCAAAGGGCUGUCAGCAAGUUCAAUGGGGAAAAUUGAGAAACACGCCUCAGAAGCCGUUCGACUUCCGAGGUGCGUUCAAAAAUGGAAGCAUUCACUUCCAGGUUUUGGGAGUUCGGCUUCCGAAACAUUCGGCAGUCGAGACGUUCAUAAACCAAGGUUCCACUGUAUUUAGAAAAAAACUUUUGAACCAACACAUAAGGCUGUCAUCAACUAAUUUAUACUCGGAAUAGACCCAUUCAAAUUAUUGGACCUAAAUUAGAACUGUGUAGCACUAACAUUAGCUACAACCUAAAAAACAACUUCCAACAUUACACAAAUACAGCAAAAGUAGGUGCAUUUGGGCCAGAUACGUAUUACAUUCAAUUUGUGAUCACAUUUAACCUGUUUGCACUUGUUUGUUUUUCUCAUAUAGCAGCCAGAGGGUGGGGAAGGGAAUCAGCAUUAGGACUGUGAUGCAUGGGUUAACUAUUUCUCCACAUUACCAUUCCAAACAAAACCUUCCUCCCGCUAUCCCACGGCAGCUGCUAUUGUCUUUUAUGUUAAGCUCUACAACCCAUGGUGCAGUGCAACUGUAGUCCAAUUAUGCACAUGUGAGAAUACCCAAGGCCUGCCCAACACUAUAAAUGAUAAAGUAUAAAUAAUAAAAUUGUUGUUGUUGUUAUCAUCAUUAUCAUUAACAUUAUAGUUAAGGGGAAACAGUGUGCACACAGGCAACCAGCAUAAAAGAGGACAGGAUAACUCUUUUAUGGAAGUCCCUCGUUCUGAAAAAUGUAUACAAUUUUCACAGCAGAAUUCUGUUUGGGGUUUUCACGCAUGCCUGCUUAAGAAAGCAAACUGCAGACUUGUGUUCUUUCUGCUCUGGAAAGCUAACUCAGGCAUGUGGAAGUCAAACUAAAGAACACUGAAUCACACGCACCCAACAUAUUCUGUAGAUCAAGCUGUUCAUUGUGCCUUAAAUAUGCAUUAUGUAACUUGCCUGUUAUGAUGUACUUAGCAUUGUGGAGAUGUGUGCGGAACUAUGUGAGAUGUGAGAAAAUCCACAGGCCAUUCCAUCUUGAAUCCAUCAUUGUGUAUGUAUUUUGGAGUUCCUCUGUCUGAACUUAUGAUGAUGAGCACAACAAAACCCUAUGUGCAAUGUGUGGGAUUUAUGGGGUGUGUAUGUGUAUAUGCUGGGCAGAUGUGCUUUGGAAGUGCUUGUCAUAUUUUUCAUAUUGGCACAUGUUUUGCAUUGCUUAGCCACCAUAUGUAGGUGCAGCCAUGCCUGGAGCUCCAUAGUCUUUAUUGUCUCAUAUUUCCUCCCUAACAAAUGAAUUGGCCAGUUCUAGCUGAGUUCAGCUAUCUAUAAAGCAGAUUCACUCAUAAAGAGUUAUAAGGCGGUACUCUUAUUUGUUUUUUUAGGAUGCAUGAAUGGUUCUUAUGAUGAAUAGCUCUCCAGGGAGCGGGGCAUGCUUCUCUAUUUGAGUGCAUGCUUUGCAUGCAGAGAUCUCCAAGAUCAAUCCCUGGUAUCUCCAGUUAGAAGUCUCAGGUCAAAGGUUGGAAAGGCUCCUUCUGGAGACCCUCAAGAGUAGCUGCAAACCAUCUGGGUUGACAGACUCAUGGUCUGAUUUGAUACAUAUUCCCAUUCAGUUGUGGGUUAUGUAGGUCCUUUACUCCAACUGGGUUAUUCUAUGGUCUGCCUCCAACUUUACUGUUCAGUGUAGACCUGUCCCAUAAACCAAUGUUGGUGUGUCUGUGACCUUCCAGUUGUUGCCGGACAACAACUUCCAUCAUUCCUGAACCUCCUGAUGCCCACAAUUUCUUCACCUCUGCCAUUUCUUAAACAUUAACACCUUUAAGAAAAUGAGUCAAUAUUUCUUCCAUUAUUUUUAAUCUUCUAAGUGCAGGCAGAGGCUUUUGUAAUGGAUAAGAGGCUAGUCUGAGGGACAGAAAGCCACCAGUUUAAAUUUUGCCUAAACCUCAUAUUGGAAAUGGCUCUGAAUUGGUGCCAGGAUUAGGCAUCUCAUAUAGUCAACAAAGACAUUAGGCCAUUUUACCUGUGGCUUUAUUAUUUUGUAUGUGAUAGCUUUCCCUAGAAUGGAUCUGGGAAUACAACCUAAUUCUCUUUGUGCUGGUAAGCCUCAGUCCAGGCACGGGAGCAGUCAACAUGAUAACCUCCAGAUGCUUUGAGAGUUCAACAGCUCUCAGCCCCAGCUGGUCCUUGCCUACUAGCCAUGUCCCCAGCACCUUGAUUCCAGAUUGUCUGAAUGAGCUACACUUGCUUCACAGAGGACAAUCUUCUGCUUGAAAGAUGUUCUGUCUGAAGGAGCCCUCUGUUUGAAGGGCAGCUGAGUGCAAAUCCAGUUUCAGUUUAAAGAUAAAGAAUCAUAAGAAGAGAGACCUGCAAGUUGCCCAUCAAGAGGGAGCAACUAGGCACCAGACUGAGCACUCAGGUCCCCUGACCAUAGGCUUCCCUAUAUAGUAUAUUGUAUAACUAUUUAAAUUAAUUAGCAGAUGCAAAUUCCAUGUAAGGGUAUAGUUCCAACCCCCCCCCCCAAAAAAAACACCAUAGUGCCUUCCAGACAUUCCAGGACUGCAAGUCAGUAUUAUCUCAUUUUAUUAUUUAUACUAGCUGAGGCUAACCAGAGUUGUAGUACAAUGACUUCUGGAGGACACUAUGUUGGCUUCUGUGCCCUUUUGUCCUUUUUAUAAUUAUGGUGAUGAUUUUUAAGUGGUCACACUAACUUGGGGGGUGUAGCCAGUGAGCACAUCAACACUGUUGAGCAUAGUCUUCCUUCCACAUUUGGUGUAUGGAUCUGGAGAGUGUAUUAAAACCUCUCAGGAGUUAAUUGGAAUGUCCAUUUGGGUCACAUUAAACCAGGGCUGGAGAACCACAGAACCAGGGUUAAAUGUGGCCUUCCACUCCUCUCUAUCUGGCCCCUGGGGCUCCCCCAUACCCUCUCUCCAGGUCACACCACACACCAGCCUUCAGUGUUUUUGCCUGGCAGGACUGUAUUAUUGAACUCUGAUCAUAUCUCUUGCUUGCCUGAAUGAAUGAAUGAAGGAUAGAGAGGGAUAUGUGAGUGAAUGUAGAAACUGGCCUACAGUGCAAUUGCAUGUCUUUCUCUGGCCUCUUCUAAAACUGACAUGUGACCUUCGACUGUGGUCCAGAAGAGAAUGUGGCCUUCAGACUGUAAAAGGUUCCCCACACCUCACUUAGCAUAACUAUGUCUUUACCAGCCAAAGAAAGACAGGCAGACAGGGGGCCAUCCAAGCUUCACCAGGCAAGGCAUUGUACAAUAUUGCUGGAGGCAUUCUCUUUGCUCAGAACAGACUUUGCACAGGGUUGUGUUUGCCCCAUCUUGCUCUUGCUGGCAUGUGGCUCCCAGAAGGUUGCCCAGAAGGGAAUGAGGUCCUGGGCCUGUAAAAUGUUCCUCACCUCUGGAUCAGAUCAUACAGUUUGUUUUCCAGUGAAGUCCCCCGCCCUUUGCUUUUGUUUCUUGCUUGGUCUGUGUCUGUUUCCAAAGGAGACAAUGAAUCCCUUUGACACUGGGAGACAACCAACAAGCUCUGUUAAACACAGUCUGCGGUGAGUAGCUGUUUUGUGUGUUUGUUUGUGUGCCUGCAAGAAAGCCUAACCCCAUAAUGAGAUACUAUACAUUGGCCUUGUUAAAAUGUGGCACUUUCCAUUGAACAUUGUCAACCCACAUCAUUAUAAAGCCAGAAACCUCUGGAUUGCCUCCUUGAAGAGUGUUUGCAGAAGGCUAUGAUUAUAGUGCAUUUUAAUAUGUAACCUUUUAUUGUAAACAGCUCAUUCAACAAUGUCUGCAUUUUGUUUGUCACAAAGUGGUACAUUCUAGCUAAGUUAAUGAUUGAUGAGGCUCUACAGUAAUGUAUUGCAUAGACUAAGGAGGUACAACUUGAUUGCUGGCUAUUCCUUUCUUUUUGUCCUCCUCCCCCCCUUCUUUGGGAAGAAGAGUAUUGGUAACUUGAAUCCCUGGUUAAUACAUUGCAUGCUUCUGGCAUAUGCAUAUAUACAUGGAAGAAAGGGCUUAGCAAAACUGAAUAGUGACAUGUACUUGGCCUGUAAUAAGAGUCCGUGCAGAUCAGCUGUUGACAUUUUCCUGUACGCUUCCAGAUUCUGCUAGGAAAUGUUUCCUUCCCAGUUUUGUUACUGUGGUUUCCCUUCCAAAUGAUCAAAGAUUUAUGGGCACACCACCCAUUCCUCCCUUCUGUGGGGCAUAUAGCUUAUCUCAGCAGAACCAUGACUGAAUACAGUUCUGCAUGUACAUGACCCAGCCAAUAAAUGCCAAUUGAAAACAAAAUAGGGGCAGUAAAAAAUGUGUCCCCAAUCACAAUACUGAUGAUGCUUUGAUACCGGUGCUGUUAUUCUACCCCGCAAAGGUUGAAUAGUUAUUGUUGCCUCUUUAUCAGGGAUGGGAGAGAAAUAUGAUUCCGUUUGCAUUAAAAGGCAAACUUGCUAAAUUUGGACUUUUCGAGACAAUACGUAAACCGAAACGCAACCAUCAUUUGAAAUUUUGAGUUCAUCAAAUUUUCCAGUGCAGUUCUCCAACCAAAUAACAUGUACAAAGGAUGGGUAUACUCAGGUAAAGUGUGCAUAUAAAUGCAUAGAUUAGUGAAAAUAACAUAGAAAAAUGUAUUAAGUUUGGGGAAAUUGCUUUGAAAAAAUGUAUAUGCUAAGAAAUAUUGCAUGCAAAAAAUGUGUACAUCAUGAGAAAUUCAUGCUAAAAUGCUGACAAAUUUUCAUGAGAACAUUUUUUUGAAAAAUAAUAAGCUGGCUGCUAUGGAAAUGUGGAGGAUCAGACUUAAGAUUGGAACUGUGAGAAACUGAUAGAGUGUGGUUUGGCCCUCAAUAAACUCUCUGUCACUCAUGGGAAGACAAAAUAUCCUCAUUUAUCCUAAGCCCUCUGGCUUUUACCUUUCACAACCAGUAAGUAAUAAUGCAAUAAAUUGACGGGAAACUCAGAUUUGGGAAUUGCCGUUCUGUGGGUAAAAUGACGAGCAACGGUUCGUUACAACUUGUUGUUAUGGCCAGAAUCCCAAGCACAAAUAUUUGAAGAGUCAUAAAAACAAAAGCACAGGGACAGGUCAAUGGAGAAGUGGGCCUGCCUCAACAUCUUGACUUGGUCUGAAGUCAAUUCUACGUAUGAAAACUGGGCACACACAGACAAAUGUAAUGUAAUGAGUCAUGGAAUGAGUCAUGGAAUCACUGGGUUGUUGCCAAACAACUUUUACUCAGAGUAGACCCAUUGAAAUUAAUGGCUCUCAGUUAGCCAUGUUUAUUCACUUUUAAUCGGUCUCCUCUGAGUAGUACUAGCAUUGGAUACAACCUAUUGAGUUGGAGGGAGCAUUAUAGGUUCUCUGCUCAAUACAGGGAAACAAGAGCUGGGCACUCCCAACAGAUGGCUGCUCAGCCUCUGCUUGGAAACCUCUAGCAAGGAAUUGGCCAGCAAACACCAACCACAUAAUUUUUUCCAUUAUAAUAUUGCUCUGAUCUUCAAGACAUUUCUGCAGAUGUUCAACAGAAAUCUACCCCUCUAUAGGAAUGGGCAGAUUUUUGAAUUUCAUAUUCUCUCAAUUUCUCACUUAAGUUCGGUUCUCCACAUUUCCACAUCAAUUUGUGAUAUAUUUUUAAUUAAUCAUGAAAAUUCAUCAGCAUUUUAGUUAGUGCAAAUUUCUCACAAUAUACAUAUUUUUGUAUGCUACUUUUCCCACUACACACAUAUUUGCAAAACUAUUUCCCGAAAUUUAUUGCAUUCCUAUAAAUUAUUUUUGUCAAGCGCACCUCUUUACUGUGGCCUUUGACACAUGUGUGUGUGUGUUGUGUGUGUAUUAGGAUCUACCUUAUUCUUCCAGUUGUAAAUUGUUUUAACUGAUUUUAAUCUGGUAUUGUGUGUGUGUGUGUGUGUGUGUGUGUGUGUUUGGAAUGCAUGGAAUUUUUAAUAUUUUAUUUUUCAUGGGGGAAGGACAGUAGCUGAGUAGCAGAACAUCAGCCUUGCAUUCAGAGGGUCCCAGGUUCAAUCCCUGGAGUCACCUAGUAGAGCUGAGAGAGAAGCCUGCCUGAAAUCCUGGAGAGCUGUUGCCAGUCAGUGUAGACAAUACUGAGGUAGAUGCACCAAAACCUGACUCACUAUAAAGCAACUUCCUAGGUUGUCGUAACCUGCCCUGGGACCUCAUGGGAAAGAGCAUGGAAGAAAUCAAUAUGAAUGAUAUUGCUAAUCUUUUUUUCUUGUAUGUCCCUUGUUUGGCACCGCGGUGUACCAUGAGAAAACUGCCCUGGGACACACUUGCAGUCGCUCUGGAAAAAUCAGCUUUAUGAAUCUGAUUGGUAUUACAUCAUUUCCUGCCAGGCAGAGAGACCAGGAACAGCCGAGAGGAAUCUCUGAAAUAUUUCAGGACAAUAGUUUUGAGGGUGUUUGAUUUACUAUUCAAGUGCACACAGCUGCUGGUGGGGAAGAGGGAGGCAGCGUGCCAAGCGGGAGGGAGGGCAGCAGGAGAGAGCGGAAAAUUGUUUACAGACAGGGCCAUUAAAAUGACUUAGAAAUAGUUCCCUCUCAUUCCUCUCUGCAUAAAAUAGUUGUCUGUUUCAAAUGGAUUACCACUUACUCACUGAUACACCAUUUUAAGUGAUGUUUACAUAGCACGCUAAUAGCAGCCGGUGAAUCGACCGCUGCAAAGCUCCAGUGUGAGUCCUUCUCAUCCUGCCCCCCCCCCACAGCAGUGCUUCAUUCUGUAGUAAGGGAAGGGCUGUAGCUCAGCAGCAGAGCAUUUGAUUUGCAUGCAGACGGUCCCAAGUCCAGUCCCCGGCUUCUCAAGGUAGGGCUGGGCAAGCCACAAGUCAGAAACUCUGGAGAGCUGCUGUCAGUCAGUGUAGACAAUAUACUGUGCUAGAUGAACCAACGGGUCGUAAGAAGAGCUCUGCUGGACCAGGCCAAUGGCCCAUCUAGUCCAGUUUCUUGCUCUCACAGUGGCCAACUGAAUGCCUAUGGGAAGCUCAAAAAGCAGGACCUCAGCACAGCAUCACUCUAUCCCAGUGGUUCUCUAACUUUUUUCUCUGAGCCACACUUUCAGAAUAAUAAAUUCUUCUCUCCACACCAGUUUUUUCCUUGAUAAGAAGUGCAUUGGAAAACAAAAAGAAACGACUCCUAGCAGUUCUUUAUGUUGAAAAGAUAUCUAUUCAUAUUCUGCAAAUUAAUAAAAAAUAAAAGAUUAAUACUUGCUGGAUUCCCUAAAGGGACAGCUGCAUAUUCCUGUGUUACAGAGGGUUGGACUAGAUGGUCCUCAGAGUCCUUUCCAACUCCAUGAUUCUGUUCUACACUGAAGUGUUUAGAUGUUUCUUGGAUUGUCCUUGCAUUUUCCCACCACACUUGCCAUCCUCUCCUGCCACACCAGUGUGGUGCGCCACACCCUUUGAGAGCCACUGCUUUAUCCACUUGUGCUCCCUAGUGCCUGAUUAAACUCUGUGGAGGCCCCUAGGCAGUCAAAAUUGGGGGGCAGGGGAGGCCCUUGUGUGUGUGCUCUAAUAGGAUAACCUUGAAAUAAGAAAGCUUGGUUGUAAUUUACUUUCAAGAUCAAAUCAAUAUUAUAUUGAUCCGUUGUGGCGGGGCCCCUAGAAGGCAUGGGGCCCAUAGGCCAGCAAAGCCUCCAAGUGUUCCUAUUUUCCAGGGAUGUCCCUGAUUUAGAGAAGCUGUCCCAGUCUCUGAUUUGAUCCUGGAAUGUCCCACUUUCCUUAGGAUGUCCCUAAUUUCAUUUGAGAAAUGUUGAGGGUAUGGAGUUAUCCGACCCCUGAGCCAUCUGAAAGCAAUCCUAUAUUGGGAAGUUUCUUAAAUGUUUGAUGUUUUAUUAUGUUUUUACAUAUGUUGGAUGCUGCGCAAAGCGGCUGGGGCAACCCAGUAAGAUGUGUGGGAUAUAAACAGUAAAAUUAUCCGUAUGGAAUGGGAUGUCCCUAUUUUCAUCGGAGAAAUGUUGGAGGGUAUGGGCUGGUGCCUACUCUGCCUAUUUGAUAAUCUGGCACUGGAGCUUUCAAGCAACUGGUAUUCAGCCUCCGACAGUGGAAGUGAAACACAGGCAUCGUGGUCAGACGUGGUAGAAGGCAGCUUCCCAUGAUUGUUUCUGAAGUGAGGUUAUGCUCUUGGGGAAAGGACCACAGGUCAAUGGAAAAGCAUUUGAUUUGCUUGCACAAGGUCUCAUGUUCAAUCCUUGACAUUUCCUGAGAAGCCUGGGAGAGACCCUGGGCUGAAAUGUUAGAGAGCUGCUGCCGGUCAGUGUGGACAGUAACAAGCUAGAUGGACCAAUGGUCUGCUUAUAAGGCAGCUUCCUAUGUUCCCAGCAUCUUUUAUGUCUCAUGGCUAUUGAAAUGGCUGCGUAAUAAGAGGGCUUAGCUGUUAUCAGUACUUCUUCACACAAUACGUCAUUAACUGAUGGAAUUUGCUGCCACAGGAAGUGGUGAUGGCUAUGGGCUCAAAUAGUAUUAAAAGGGGAUUAGAGAAAUUCAUGGAGAAGGAGGUUAUCGACAAGGAUAGCCAUGUUUCCUGCUUUAUAGAGAACGGUCCUCUUCUAUUUGAAUGGUUGCCCAGUCCAAGUACAUUUAAAGAUAUAGCAGGAGGGGCCUUGAAGUUGCCCAUUAACAAUAGCUCCUGGACAACAGACUGAGCAGGCACACACACACAUACACGUGGCACUACUGUGUAGGCCCCCUCCUGCUCAUUCUGCUGAUUUGGGCCUGGGCUUCUGCCUCAAAGUCCUGCCUUGAUGGUGAAGCAGGCUCUUCUUCGCAAAACUCUGUACCUGCUUUAAGUCCAGGAGAGACAUGUGUCAAACUACUUCAGACUACAGAUGAGGUGGGAGAAUUGCAUUAACAGCUACCCCAACAUCUUUUUAAUUGGCAAAAUAUAGAACACUAAGGGUCAAAAUAGAUGACUUAUUUAUUUAUUUAUUUAUUUAUUUAUCUAUCUUAAUUAAGAGACAUUUAAACCACUUUUCAGAGCACAUUGCUAUUCCAAGUCAGAGUACAAAAAGAAAAGUUAAUAAUUUAUUAAACCGUCAAUUUAAAACCUACAAAUUAAAACCUACCCUUUUAAAUUCAGCACUAAUGAUCCUCAAAACAAAGCCAUUAAUAAAGAGUGGAUUUAAAUAAUAAUGUCUUAAGAGUCCUCCUAAAAGUCAUCAGUGAUGGGAUCAUAUGCAUUUCCUAGAGAAUAAGAUUCCAAUUGGGUGGAGCCACUGCAGAAAAGACCCCGUCCCUUGGUACCAAACAACUAUCUACCUUCAAUGUGCUGGAGAGCAGGAAUAAUCCUAAAGCUGCAUGAGCUUCAUCAGGGUCAGGACCACAGUGCACAGAGAAAGCAGUUCAUGGUCCCCAAAACCCUUCUCCCUGCCCAAAGUGCUAUUUGCCAGUGACAGUUUCUCUUCCAGGGAGAACAGAAGCUUCAGCAGUAGGAUAUUUUUGUUAACAUUUAGGUACAGUGAUUCUUCCUUCCUCUUCCUCCUUGUCUCCUUUGGGGAGACAGUCAAGCAUGUUCUUCCAUUAGCCAUCUGAUGUGGGACGGUGCAGGGAACAGUUUUACCGUGUGAUCAGCUCUUUGGACAGACAAGAGCUAAGCAAACAUUGAAAACAGCCAAAGCCGACUGCUCAAGCCAAUGGCUCAUUAGGUAGUUCUCCUGCUCACUUAUUCAUUGGCUUUGAUCCCAGGGAGGGAAGGGGAGAGAGAGACUAAGACAGUGUUUUUAUUAAGCCAACUUUUAUUGCCAGAUUUUGACAUACAAAGGCUUGUGGAGUCUACAUUCCUAAAGCUGCAUUCAGAUGGAAGCAUCUUCUUUUUCUUUUUUCAUGAGUCAAGUGCAAUGAAUAAGCAUUAGGGGUGUGCAUUCAUUUUUUUUAACAAAUGAAAAAUGAAAAUGAAUGGGCCCCAUUGUAGCUAAAGUGUACAGCACUCUGAUAGGCCUUUAUUCCACACAGAACGCUCCAAUCACAGCAGCAAGGAAAGUGCCUUGAAAGUCUAUAAAAGAGGGAAACAAAGCUUUGCGCCUUGCCUGUGUAACUUCUUUUGCCCUGGGAGCAGUGUGUUUGCGGGCUCCUCUGUUGGUCUGUUCUUUACAUUUGAAUUAAAUCAGUUCCAAGUCUUUUAAACAGGUCUUUUAAACAUUUUCAGUCCAUUACACAUUCUGUUUCCUUACCUUUGACAUUCCCUUGCAGUUAGUUAGUUAGUUAGUUAGUUAGUUAGUUAGUUAACGGCAGGUAGUUGGUCCUAUUUACAAUUAGUUCAGAUGGCAGUUAGACUGUAAGUAACUUUCAGAAUUUGGCAAACUAAGCAUAGCAUGAUGAUCAGUAGGCAGAGAAUUGGCAUGCCUGUUUCUGUAGCCAGAUAUGGGUUAGAUAAUAGGUCUACUCUGCAUUUCAUAUCAUCAUAUUUAAUAUCCUAAAUUGUCUAGAUUAAAAGUCAUCUACAGUACUGGGAUAGAGAUGGACCAAUCGAUCAACUGCAGUUUCAGUCUUUCAUUCUUCCUACCUUAAGUUCAUUUUACCACAUUUUCAUAUACUUUUGCUAUUUUUUAAAGCCAGAAACUGUAUAAUGAAAGUGCCAGAAGCACCUUUGUGCGGUGGGAGUUUGGCAAAGCACCACCACAAAUAAUGCUCACUUCCAGUUUCACACCCCGCAGAGCCUCUGAGGGCCGAGGCACCCCAAGACAACCCCCUAUGCCAAUCUCGGAACCUGAGAGGGGAGAAGGGGUGGUCUUUCUGAUAUUUGCUGCUAAGUCGUUUAUGGCUUAUUCCUAUAAAAAUAAGUUUUGACACUGAAGUCUUCAGUUUGUGCAGCCUUUUUUUUUUUUUUAAGGAGAAGGGCCAGUGACAGAGCACCUGCUUUGCAUGCACAAGGUCCCAGGUUCAAUCCCCAGUAACUCCAGGUAGGGCUGGGAAAAGAGUCUUGGUCUGAAAACCUGGACAGCCUGUGCUAGUCAGUGCUGAUAGUCCAAUAGCCUGUCUCUGUAUAAAGCAGCUUCUUAUGUCCUGUGCUCCACCUGAGACUUAGUUUCCUCAGCUUGGCCAUAAAUAUUCCACGAUAUCACGCAUCCAGGUACUUAUCAGCAAUGCAUGCCAAAAAAAAUGUAUUUUCCAUAAGAAGGUAUGAACUGCACAUAACCCAGGUCAGCAACAUUUACAUACCUCCCCAUAAUGUGCAGAUUGGACCUAAAUUAUGUUUUCUGCAAAGAGUCCAAACAACCCUUCCCUCUCCCCACUCUCUUUAUAGAUUUGCAAACAGCCUUCUUUAACCUUAAACUCAAUUUGUCAUGUUGCCAAUCCUGCCAUGUGUGGAUGAUUUACUGCUUCCUGAGGCACAAACUCCACCAGAUUCCAAACUGUCCUUAUUGCGUUUUGCUUAGUUCCCUCUGGUGCUUUGACCCUUCUCAAACUGUUUACUAUAAGUAGGCAGCACAGACCAGUAAGGUGAGUCUUCUCUGUAAAAUAAAAAAAAUGGGGCAGUGGAAAAGGAUAGCUGGAGAAAUUCUAUAAUAGGGGUUGCUAACAUGGUGUCCCCCAGAUAUUGUUGGACUCCAUCUACCAUCAAUCCCAGCCAACGUGGCCAGUGAUGAUGGGAGCUGGAGUUGAACAACUGUAAGGCACUGUGUAAGGCACUGUGUUGGCUUCUCUGUUUAGGAGGGUAUGGAGUUUGUUGUGAAAGGCAGAACUGGUAGCCGAUGUGGUGCUCUGCAGAAAUUGUUGGAUUCCAAAGCCCAUCAUCCCUGCACAUUGUUUGUGGCAACUGGAUCUGAUGGUAGUUGUAGCCCACAGCAUACAUCAAUCAGUUAGGUUUAUGUGUUUAUUAAGCAUUUAAAUGACAGGCAGUGAUGGGGCAGCAAGUACACAAAUUAUAUAAGGGCACAAUGUGCUGAGCUUCCAUACUUAAAACGAACUGCCCAAACCAUAUCAAAACAACUUAUUUUUGGCCCAUACCUCCUCUUCUUCACCUUUAUCUUUGGGUAUCCUUGUAAAUACCAUUAAAGUACUCUAUUUUGUGCCUGUUAGUUACAGAACUAAGUCAGAUUCAUAAAUGAAUUAUGGCCAUAUAGUAGAAUAGCAGGGAGUGCCUGGCAUUGCCUGGGAAUUUUCAGAAACCAAAAAUGUAAUUUUUAAAUGGAUAGUGUAAUUUCUGAGUUUGGGCCUGUCCCAUCAUGUAAAAAAUCAGGUGAAGUCACAUCAAAGUCAUGUUGCAGUCCACCAUAUUGAAUCAAUAUGGUGGCCAGCAUCCAAACAUCAACAGAUACUACUGCCCCUACUCUGGGAACCCUGAUGCCAAGUUUUGUGGUGAUAUAUUGAGAGAUGUCCAAACACAUAGAGAAUGAACAGACAGACACACAAACCAUUUUCAAAAAUAUAUAGUAGAAGUACUGAAUCCUAUGAGGAAACCUCCACUGAUCCAGAGUGUAAACAAGGAGCAAAGCACACUUUGUGUUUAUUCGGCUUUUUAGUGUGGGGUGUCUAAUGGUGAAUUUGUGCAGCUGGAAAAUCAUCUUUCAGAGAACACUAACCUCCUUCAGAGGUAACAGGUUGCAGUGGACAAGAGGAGAUCCAUCCACUCAGGGUGUGUGUGUAAGUGUUGCUUCUGCACAGUUGCAUUGUUCUUGUGAAUAAAGAUGGAGUGGAUUUGUGUGAGUCCCAAGACAACCCAGUCCAAAAAUAACACUUCAACAGUUUCUCAUUUCCAGUAUACAGAAGGUCCGUUCUUAACCUGAAACUGUUCUUAACCUGAGGUACCGCUAAUAGGGCCUCCCACUGCCGCCACCGCACAAUUUCUGUUCUCAUCCUAAGGUAAAGUUCUUAACCCGAGGUACUAUUUCUGGGUUAGUGGAGUCUGUAACUUGAAGCGUUACGAGGUACCACUGUAUAAUAUUCCUCAGAUGGCCAACAGGAGACAUACAGCUACCCCAAGCAAAUGUGAAAGGAUUCUUGUAAAUCCUUCAGGGCAGUUUGUGGACUCACAAACAUUUAAAUCUUGGGUGGAAAACAAAUCUGUUUUAUCACAUCUGUGCCAAACAUGCUAUACUACCAUGCACCCCUGAAGUUUCAGGGAGGGGAUAUAUUUUCUUUUUGUUUUGUAAACAGACAAGAGUUGUUUCAAUCGGGGCAAUCCAUGUUGUGUUCCAACAAAAAUCUGCUUCUUCAUCUCACUACAAGAGCUCCAUCUUAUAUGAGAUUACUGUAGUUAUAAAUAAUGCCAGCCUCCUGUUUAAACAUUUUUUUAAAUUAUUUUUACAAAUCUGCAUUUAAAAUGGGCUUUUGUAAGCUGGUUAGGGAAGAAACCCAUUCAAUAAGUCCUGUUAAUCUCAUAUCAACCAUAUUUUGUAAAUACACAGACAUGGCCAAUGGUCCCACUGAUACUUCAUUUCCCAAUAAUGAGGGAAGUGGUAUUUACAGGAAAGAUUUAAACAUUUCUUUAGCACCAGAGCAUGCAUUUUUUGUAUGUUCUGUAUGAACCCCUUAAUGUAAAGAUGACUAAUGUAUCCAUCUAAUUAAAUUUUUUACAGCAUUCCAGUGCUUGAGUGUCAAAUGUUUGUUUCCAGUUUGCCUCCUAAUAAUACUGUCACAUAAAUAUUCCCAUUUUUCAUUUAGUGCCUUCCCAAUACAUAUUUUUACCAUGGGAGAACUGCAUUAUAACCAGAGCUGGCUCCAGGGGUUUUAUUUUGUGGGGGGGGAGCUUGGGCAAAUGUAUAGUGCAGAUGUUGCCAGAAACACUACAAACAGGGCUAGUCUGAGCCAUUUUGCUGCCUGAAGCAGUGCUAUUUUUCUAGAAAAAGAAGUGCUGGAACUCACAGUGAAUGCCUCCCUUACAAUAGCAACAGCGCCCAGCUGAGAGGUGCUAGAACUGAGUUCUGGUGAGUUCCAGAGGAAGAAAAGCCCUGCUGAAGAGGAACACAAAACAGUUGCCCCUCCCUCUCAACUUCCCAAGUCAAGGCUCAUGCUACCCCAGCUGGCCAAGUUAUUUUGGCAUCUGAGGCAUAAAAUCCCUCAAGCACUUCUUCCUAGGAAUAAAAACACAACAAUAAUAAAUAAUUAGCCGUUUGCUGUCCUCUCAGGGCAAUUACAAGGCCUAUUCAGGCAUUCGGUCCACCAUUUGAGGGGCAGUGGGUAGAUGUGGAAUGUUGGGGAAGUGACGUGGGCGCCAGCCACAGACCGUGUUGUGGCGUAACACAAAAUGGCUGCCACAUCUGAAAGAGCAGAAUAAGACACAAGAACACAAAAUGGUGUGGGCACCACCCAUCAAUCUCAUUUCAUGUGGGAUUUAUGAGGAGAUAUUUACUGAGACAUUUUGCAGGAGCCAUAGGAGGAGCUGGCUGGUGCAGGGUUGGUAGACCCGAAUUGUAAACAAACACACGAAAGAAGACAGGGGCGCACUGCCAAGCCUUGCCCCCUCUGCUGCGUCAUCUUCUACACACUUAAGACAUUUGCCCUGGUUGCUUCAAAUGGAAGACAUCCACUUAAAAAUACCUCUGUUGAUAAAGUUGCUGGAGACAGGCAGAGAGUGCCAAAAGAAGCCUGCAAGGUCUGGCCUCCUUCUGCUAAACAAGAAAGCUUUGUAAAUGUGUGCCAAGAGGGUUACUCACAUGAGUAGGAAAAUGAAGGUGGCAGGGCAGUGUCUGCCUAAUCUACCUUUUACAACCUAGUCAAGUCAUCCUAAACUCACCAGGAAUCCUUUGGUAAGCAUUAAAUCUUUGUUUUUAAUUAGUUUCCAAGUUAUACUUUAAAUGGAAUGACAUGACAUCCCAAUUGGUAUGCAAGAUAAAGUCCCAUAACUAAGGUCACAACCUACAAUAGUAGACCAAGGCCUUCCUGGAUAAUCCCUCAAUAGGAAAUCUUUUUUACUGAGCUGAAGACCAGACGCAAACAGAAGAGUUUCCAGGGGUCAGUCUCUGAAGCAUGUUGCUCCCUCCACUGAAAUGCCUUUUCUAAAUGUUCUAGAAAGCCAACUGCACUUUAAUGAUGGGGUUCAUGCUGAAACUAAGCUGAUAUAUCUAUGUGGUAUUUGCAUCUAUUUAGAUAGCAUUCAUAAAUAUUUAUUUGGCUAUAUUAAGACUUCUUGUUAAUAUGUGUCCUUUUUCUCUCUCUUUCUUCAUCUGUUUGUAAAUUCUAAUGGCAGUUGACUUCUUAUAACAGGGAGGGAGUCAAAUCCAUGAGCCAAGUAGAAACAUUGCUACCCAAAGUCUUGUUAAAAUUCAAAGCUUGUGUGCAAGAACGUGUUUCACCCGUAAGUGAUGGUGCCAAGGUGCUACAAUGGUAUAGUCUUAUUCCCCCCUCCAUGAUUUGGGGGACCUUGGAUUGUUCUGUGUGGACUCACACCAACCCAGGAGCUAUACUAUACAGCUCCUAUUUAUUCUUAAAGUGUGUGUAUAUUAAAUGCAUGGAUGGAAUUGGGAUCAGGCAUGAUGGUGCUUCCCCCAGUUUCAAUACAUCAUUCCUGUGUGCACAAAUCUAUAUGCAGGAAUAUAGGCUUCCCCAGCCUACUAAGGUAUGGCAAAUGGUUACCAGGAAAAGGGCAUUUUCAGUGGUAGUGCCCCAUGUAUAGUAUGACCUCACUAGAGCGCCUCACCUGAAGCUGAUGCUAUGGAUUUUUAGGUGUCAGGUGAGGACCUUUUUAUUCUCCCAUGAUUUUAAAUUUUAAUUAUAAUGGUACAUCUAUGUUUCAUACCUUUAGAUCACUACACUAAAUUAUUACUCCUCUUGCUUUUUUAUUUUGGCUUUAAAAUGCUCCUUAGUUGUAUAGGUCUUGGCUGUCUUGAUUUAUUUACAAUUGGUUUUAGUCUUCUUUUAUCUUCUCAGUGUUGUAUUCUAUUCUGUGUUUUAAAGGUCUGUAACCCUGCCAGAGAAUUUGAUUAUAUGGGUGGUAUAGAAAUGUAAUAAAUAAAUGAAUGGCUUUCCCCUGAAGUCUUUAUGGUUCUGCCAUUAUGACACUGUUUUAAAGUCUCCUUGCCAAUUUUUAAUCAUAUGAUGCUGGUCUGUUGUUGUUGGAAUAUAUAAUGCUGUUUUAAACGACUGGUUCACAGUCAUUGCAAUGUUGUCUUUUUUUGAUUGUGUCUAUUGUGUCUCAAAGUUUUUAUCUGAGUUACUCUGAGGAAGGAUGUUGGCCCUAAGAGGUGGCCUAAAAAUAUUUAAAUCAACAACUGCAUUCAUCAAACCGCUGAUGUCCAGAAGCUCUGGUUAGUGCAGAAUGCAAUGGCUAAAGUGCUGAUGCGGGCAGAGGGCUGACAGCAUGUGAAAUCUUUGCUAAAACAUCUACACUGGCUUUCUAGGCUAGUUUCAAGGAAGUGUUGCUGUACCAUGCCCUGAGCAACUUGGGUCCAUGGUUCCUUAAGGAUCACUGGAACUCUUGCCUCGCAACCCAGUAACUGAGCUCAUACAGAGGCGUGCUGUUACUUGACUGACCUCAAGUAGGGUGCAUUCGGACACGGGGAUGAUUACGUUAGUUUUCCUGGUUAUAAUGCUAGUGCUUCUGCCCCUGUUCCUAAUGUUCCUUUUCACACUGCAUUACUUGUUGCGUAUUGGAACUGUGGCUUUUUGAUUGGUAUACUGCCAUGUCAGACUGAAUUUCAUUCACACCACUAGCCAUGGUCUGACACAACACUAGACAUCACAGGACAUGUCAGCACCCUCUAUGCACAUCUGCUCACUCAUGAUUCACCCAUGAACAACGGUGAGAAACAACUAUAUGCUGGAAUAUUACCCCAAAUUUUCUCAUGUGAGUGGUGGUGUUAUGAGCAAUGAAAAGAAGCAGGGACAGAGCGAAACGCCCAUGUUUUUUUCUGGGUUAAUGGGGUUGCAGACAUAUUUUUCCCCUGUAAGCAAUUAACAUGGGAACUGGCACUAAACUUCUACAAGAUUCCUCUAGAUUUCCAGAAGUGAUUUUUACAUUGUGUGAAAAGAUCACAUAAAGCAGAAAUUUUUCAGGUAAGAAGACUUUCGGGAAAUUUAAGUGUCACUGCUCUGAUGCUGUGGAGCUGUGGAGCUCCAUUCCAGUAGAGAUGUGAGGCAACCUCAUUUUUUAUUUUCAAGCAUCUCUUCAAGGCUUUUUUUUUAUGCUGACAGACCUAUGCAGCUGUUCAGAAUUUUUUUGAGUGGCCAGUUAUUUUAAUGAUCGUUCUGUAUAAUUUUUAAAUAUACUGCCCUGAUGUUUUGCAAGAGGGUGAUAUAUAAAUACUUUCAUAUACAGUAAAAAUAAAUGAAUGCUCCUUUUCUACAGUAGGCACUUCAGACUGACAAUAUCCCUCUCUAUCCUCGAUUCAGGCGAGCAACAGGCAUUAUAAGAGUGCAGUGACAUUCCUGCCAAGCAAAAACACUCAAGGAAGUUGAAAUGCAUAACUGGUGAGCUAUGACUCAGGCAGCUGUGCAACCUAGGGAGAGUAUUGAGGGCCACAUAGGAAGACCAUGAAGGGCCACAUUUGGCCCGCAGGCCUAAGGUUCCCCAUCCCUGGCUUAGCACAAAAGAUGGCUGACUGAGCACAGGCAUCAUAAAGUGAUCCCACAACUGUACCAUAAAUGAGAUCCUUCUGCAAAAUUUCAAACCUCUUUAGGGUGAGUUGAGCGGGGCUGUGUGCAGAAUUGCAGGUGACCAGCAGCCAAGAACUGGGAGAUCCAUUUAUAUAGCAUCAUCACCCUGGUAUUCUUUUAUGGCUGCGGUUGACCAGGACUGCCAUGCUGUAAAGGUUUUAUAGAGUGAGAUGUGCUAUAUGAACAGAUCCCAAAGCACUUAUGGUGUUGUGCUAUAACUCUGGCCAGGUGCAUCAUUUAGAGAGUGGGGAAUACGGCUCUUAAAAAGGGCUGCUUUUUCCCCAAUUUAAUAUUGAAUGUGUCCAAGACCAGGAUUUUGAAGCCUGCUGUUCGUUUUUCUUUCAGUUCCUUUUCUAAUUCUGAUCUAUUUAUUUUUACACUCCCUGUUGAACCCUAAAAUGGCAGCACCUCCGCCUAUUCUGAGCCAACUUGAUCUAGGAUAUUAAACUUCUGAAGAUAACCAGAGUGUGUAUUGUAUAGAGUGUAUAUUGUACACUUGGCAGAAGAUAAAUGUUAAACAAAUGUUGGUUAUUAAAAUAUAAUUUUUUAUUGUAUUUGCUUUCUUUUGCGUGUAGCUGAUACUUAUUUUGUUAGUUACUUUGAAUGUUGUUGAAACAGAAAAAACAGGAUGUGUUUUAAAACAAAUGCAUGUACAUAAGGAACAUAGGGAAUAGUUUAAGCCAGACCUUUGGCCAUUUAGCUCAGUAUUGUGUAUUCUGAAUGGCAGCAGCUAUCCAAGGUUUAAGACAAGACUCUUUCUCAGUUUUGCCAUGAAUUCAACAUAAGACCUUAUUUAUUUAUCUUUUUAUAAUAUUUGUAUUCCACUUUUCCUCCAAAGAGCACAUGGUGGCAUAAAGAAUCAUAGAAUUGUAGAGUUGGAAGGGACCCCCAAGGGUCAUCUAGUCCAACCCCCUGCAAUGCAGGAACCUUAACUAAAACAUCCAUGACAGAUGGCCAUCCAACCUCUGCUUAAACACCUGUAAGGAAGGGGCGUCUGUUCCAGUCAAAUAGCUCUUACCAUCAGAAAGUUCUUCCUGAUGUUUAAACAGAAUCUCAUUUCUUGUAGCUUGAAGCUAUUGGUUUGGGUCCUACCCUCCAUCGCAGGACGAACAAGCUUGCUCCAUCAUCCAUGUGACAGCCCUUUAGAUAUUUGAAUAUGACUAUCCUAUCUCCUCUUUCCCAGAAGUGUGGUUUUCCACCUUCCCAUUUUAUUCUCACAACAACCCUGUGAAUUAGGUUACGCUGGAAGGCAGUGACAGGCCUAAUUUCAUCCAGUGAGUUUCAAUGCCAGGUGGGGAUUAGUACCCUGGUCUCCCAGGCAGGUUCUAGGCAGACAAUCUAACCAUUACACCACACUGGGUUAUAAUAAGUAUUGUCUGUUGCCCCCCCCCCCCAUUUUGUUUGUGUGUGUAUCUAUGAUUUUUCACAUCUAGUUUGUUUCUUUUAAUACUGACUCUUUGCUAAGUUCUUUAAACUUGCUCACAGCUGCUAUUAGUCCUCAACCACAUUGGUGGACAAUGCCAAUCCAUUCCACUACCGCUCAUACUCGAGUGUUAAAAUUAUUUCAAUUCCUUUCUCCCAGGUUUUUAUUGGUGCUCAAUAAUGUGUAAGUGGAAAAGUUUGUAUGUUAAAAACCCCUCCCCAGACUUUGGAUAAAUAUUCUAUUUAUAACCUACCUGUCCUCCAAGGAGCUUGUGCAGUAUGGUUCUCCUUCUCUCCAUUUUAUCCUCACAACAACCCUGUGAGAUAGGUUAGGUCCAAGGUCACCCAGUGAUCUUUAGGGAGCUGAGUGGGGAUAUGAACCUUGGUCUCCCAGAUCCUAGUCCAAUGAGACCACACCACACUUGCUCUGGAGCACCUAGGCUUCAUAAUGAAACCACCCAGUGUCUACUAGGCUAGCCAAUAGCUCCUCCUCUUCUGGAGGAACUAUAAAGGCUUCCUUUUCAGGCUGGAACUUUGUCUGGGUAGCAAUAGUAGGAUUCACUACUGAUCUUAGCCCAGCUUUGACCAUUGUCCACAGGUUCUUUCAGAAUAGCUUUAAUAGAUGUUAUAAAUGGCCAUUAGCUGAUCACCUAUGGUGAACAACAAUUAGUUCAGGUGAUUAGAUGACAGGUUUUCCCAAACUUUCUGAGAGAACACCUUCUCCCGUCUCAACCUACACACCUGUUAAGAUCAGCAGAAGAUGCUCUCCUGGUGGUCACUGACUUUAAUGAACUGCAGAAGCCAUGGAAGUGGUGACUCCCUGUCUGUGGAAUGACCUCACUGAGGGGCAUCUUACCACAACCUUCUAUUAGUUUAGAUACCAUGUAAGAACCCAUCUCUUUCAUCCAUCAUUUAGAAACUGAUGGGUUACAUAAUUUUUGUGGUGUUGUUAAUUAUGUAAGUUAUAAGAAUGAUUUUAAUCUUUCUGUUCAUAUGCAUUAUGUUUUUAUAACGCCUCCCUUUCGCAAACCGCCUGGAGACCAUAUUUUGGUAAGGGCAGGAUAGAACUCUUUUAGUGAAUAAAUUAAUAAGCAACUGGAAGAAGAUUGGGUUUUUUGUUUUUUAGGUUUUUGAUGUGCCCUAUAAACAACUAGCUGAAACCUGUGCAUGCAGAGAAGCUAGUAGCAAACUGCGCACAGGAAACCUCUAUGGGUUUAUUUCUCCAAGGCUGGCUUUAAAAUCUAGUUAAAUUUGCAAAUAUCUUUGACUUCCCUUUCUUCUGGUUUUCUUUUCUUUCUCUCUCCUCCUUUUUUCCCUCCCUGUGUGUAUUUUUUUAAACACCCCAGCAUCUUUUCUUUGGCAUGUUUCCGAUUUCCCAAGCUGCAGCUGCGCGGAGCUGAAUGGUAAAUCAAACACCCUAAAAUCUGUUGUUUUAACACAAUGUCUAAGAUUUGCCGAUUCUCUUCCCCUCUCUCAUUUUUUGUGAUAACCACGCUGCCUCUUCUUUGUGUGGCAUCCAAAUAACUAAUUGGGGUAGCUAAAGCCUGACCUGUGUUUUUUGGUGAAAAUUAGCGGGUAGGUUAGGGGGUGAAAAGCGGAUAAUUCCCAAGCAGUUUAGAUAAGUAGAUAUUAUAGGCUUGCCAUGUUAAUUGGUAUUAAAUAUUUUUUUAAUCACUGGUGGCUUUCAUCAUCAGGCUCUCUUGUGGCAGACAGCAUUCUCUCUUCUCUUACGGCCCUGGCUCUUUGCAUCUUUGCAGUGCUCUUUCAAAAGACGUUGCUGUAGCUUCUUUUUCAUAAAGGCCAGGUCACAUGGUCCUGUCGAGCUUGAUGGCUGAAUGGUGCAAGACACUCUGGUUUUGAUCCGAGGCAGGCAUGUGACUAACCAAACAUAAUUAUUUAUUGAUUUAUUACUCUUCUGUUCCGGCCCUUCCUCCCUAAGGACCCCAGAGAGGCAAACACUAAAGUAGUAAAACAAUGCAAUUAAAAAAAAUUAAAAUGCAGUUAAAAGAUUUAAACACAAUUUUAAAUCAUUGGGCAGUAUCCAACAUUAGUUCUACCCUGAGUAGACCCAUUGAAAUUAAUGGACACAACUAACUUAGGCCCAUUAUUUUCCGUGGGUCUACUCUGAGUAGGCUUAGGUGGAUGCAGCAUCUUAAAACAUGUUUAACAGUCAUGUAUGCUCACAGAUUAUACAGUAGCACCUCGGGUUACGUUACCCUCGGGUAACAAAAACUUCAGGUUGCAAAAGCAGCAAACCCGGAAGUGUUUCGCCACGUGUGCAUGUGCAGAAGCGGUAUAUCGCCGUGCGCAUGCGUAUAACAGUGAUCCUCAGAUUGCAAAAACCUCAGGAUCCGGCCGGACCUCCGGAACGGAUCCCGUUUGCAACCGGAGGUACCACUGUAAUUUCAAAGUUGCCAGCAACAGUAUCUUUCCAAAGCCUAGGUGAAAAGGAAUGUUUUUUAAUUCCUCUUGAACAUUAAUAACAAGGGAGAUAGACUGACCUUACUAGGGAAGCCAGGGAGGCCAUUCCAUAAAUAGGGAGCCACCACUGAGAAGGCGCUGUCACAGUUCAGUUCAGAACAGCACCCAGCAAAAACAUCACCUGCCAGUCAUAGGUGGUUGAUAUUAGGUACUUGGCUCUAGUGUUUGAAACUCCCAUUGUUCUACACACAUUUUGUGACAGGGAAUUUCAUUAGUGCGAGCAGUUUCUGAGCUCUGGGUGCAGUACUGUGCCUAAGAUUUCAGAUUAAAACUGCAGAGUGGAUGGAAAGAUGGACCUUUUUCUGCCUCCCCACUUCCAGCUACUCUCUGAAGACUGGAGAAGAGACCCUCUUAUGAAUAUUAGGGGGGUGGGCAGGGGAAGGACUAGACCAUGUGAAAAAUGAACAUAAUAUUUAAGCUGCAGUUAUUUAUUUUCAGCUUUGUAUUGUUACAUAUAAAAAAACCCCUAGGCUUUCCAUUGUUGUGCCCAUAACCUAAGUUUAAGGUGCCAUUUAGCUCCUAGCUUUCAUAUCUGUUUCUAACACUGCUUGGCUCCCAAACCUUUCAGGUCUUGUGUGCUAGUAGAGACACCUUAAAUUGUGGGGUGUAUCAAAUGGGCUGCAAUAUUUGAAGUUCUAUGAAUAACAUUUGAUUUGGGCUCAGGAAAUGCUUUCAAAGGGGAGAGUGGAGCCCACAUGAAGGCUAGCUGAGCCUGGGCACAAAGGGAGACAUGGAUGAAAGGAUGAGGGGAAAUUUGCCAAACUAAUGACUAUAGUGAUACCUCGGGUUACAUACGCUUCAGGUUACAGAUGCUUCAGGUUACAGACUCUGCUUACCCAGAAAUAGUACCUCGGGUUAAGAACUUUGCUUCAGGAUGAGAACAGAAAUUGUACUCUGGUAGCGCGGUGGCAGCAGGAGGCCCCAUUAGCUAAAGUGGUGCUUCAGGUUAAGAACAGUUUCAGGUUAAGAACGGACCUCUGGAACGAAUUAAGUUCUUAACUUCUUAACCCAAGGUACCACUGUAUAGGUUAAUUAUUAAGACAUAGACAAGUUGCAAUACUUUUUUAUAUAAUAAAGAAGGGACUAUGCUGAAUUGUGAAGGAUGGAAGAUGAUAGAAAAACACUGAUGGGAUGGUUUUUAAGUGAAGGGUAAAUGCAUAGGAUUCUGAAAGCUGUAAAUAAAAUGGGGGUGGGGGUGGGAUUUCCCCUAUGGCCAGAAUUAAGCCAGAUGAUGUGAUUGAGGGAAGUGACCCUGCCUAAGAAGACUGGGGUGGAUUGGGAAGGAUGCAAAAGAAUGAAGAGGAAGCCAGCAGGUAGAAAGGCUGUGUUAAGGAUAAAUAAGAGACAAUACUAAAAUAAAAAUGCCACCAACAAACUCCACUUAAAGAACUAGUUCAGAGAACUUGCCAAAGAUGGGGGAGGAAAGGCACUGAGAUAAAAGAUUUAUAGAAUCAGCAUCCCUCCCCACAAACAUUGUGAGUGGAGAGUGUUGGGUGGAUUGGAAGAUAAACUUCUCAAUGAGCAAACUCCAGCUCUACUCCUUUCCCUCUCCCCAUGCUGAUGUUUCCCUUAUAUGGCAUUUCCCUGCGCCCUGUCAUUUUGUUGACAGGCUGUCUGGCUUAGGUCAUGCAUUUUUAAAACUCUGGACAUCUUUAAAUAUCUGGGGGGGGGUGUAUUUGCUUCAAAUUGCUUCAGGGGGCUCAUCUCAAAGGAGCCCUAUUUUGAUCCAAAUGUGCCAACCUCAUCUUUGUAUUCAGGUUUUGGAAGAAGCAUCUUCUUGGUGGCUUUUCCUCUUGACUUUGCACUCCCUUCCUAGAGAGACUAGCCUCGCACCCUCCUUGUUAACUUUCCAUCUGCAGGUAAAAACUGUUUCUUUCAAGACAGGUCUUUGGGAACUGGCUGCUUUUAAGGAAAGGAUGUUUAAUAUUGAUGUGUUGUUUUCACUAUUUGCAUUUUAAUUCUUUUCAUUUUUUAUAGUUUCAUUACUUUUGAACUAUUAUCUUUUAUUUUGAAUGAGUAUUAUACGGCCCCUGUAAUAGUGCCAGUUCUGCACUGUUUCGUUGUCAUCGUUCAGUGUGUGUGCAUUCAAGUGAACUAUUCUGGUUGGUUUACGUAGGACUGGGGAACCUUCUUUAGCUUGAGGGCCACAUGCCGGGGGGGGGGGCUUCCAAGAGCCACAUGCCGGCUCAAAAAGUGGAGCAGAGCAACAAGGCAGAUUUUACCUUUGUACAGCAGACUAGUUUCUACACAUACACAUCCUUCAUCCAGACACGCAAGAGCUAUUAUCAAAGUUCAGGAACACAUUCCAGCCAGCCAAAAACACUCAAGGAGAUUACAACGCAGGGCAGUGAAGGUGUGGCCUGGGAAGAGGUCUGGCGACCAGGUAAGGAGCCCUAGAGGCCCACAUUCAGUUGCCCAUCUAUAUAGCAGCCUGUGAAGAGUCUUCAACAAUGUAUAAAGGGGAAGAGGGUGUUCAGACACCAAACCUUGCAUUGAUGGUAGAUGAGUUACUCACACACCCAUCCUGCAAAAAUAAAUAAAUAAAUCUGCAUUUAAUUUUCUGUCAUUAAUUUUUCCCUCCUUGUAUUUUCUGCAAGACUGUCUCUGUUCUCAUCUGGGAAAUGCUGGAGAGUAUGGAAUGGCCAUAAACAUUUGCACAUCAAAAGUUCUUUAUAAAUUGUUCACAAUAAAUGGGAUAUAUCAUGAUAACUCCUUAUUGUGUGAAGAGAAUUUAAUUAUAAAAUCACUAAAGCAAAAGAAAUCACAGAGACAGAGGGAGGGAAGUAUACAAGGAGAUGUAAUGGAUUGUAUAAACAGCCCAUUUUAAUAAGAGAACACUAGCAAAAUUCCUGCCCCGUGUAGCUAAUAACCAGAGCAUUGCAUUACACUCACAAACAAAAGGCAGGAAAUUCAAAGAUAAGGUGGACACCUAGUCCUUGACUCCAGCCAUUGUCACAGAAUGGCCCAAAGAUUAUGUGAAAGAGAGGAGGUGUCACUCAUAACUUUGUUCUCUUCCUGCCUAACCUUGAGGAAGAGGCUAAAUAGGGCCAUUGCUGAAUUCAAUUUGUGGUUGCCCACAAAUUUUUCAACACAAAGACCACAUACUCAUGGGCAACCUGACAGGUUCCACAUGCCAGUGGAGGGCAGGGUCAGGGACAAAAGUGGGCAGAGUAAUUGGUAUGGUAAAUUGCAUUCCAGCCAUGCAAAAGCCAGAGGUUUCUACACACAAGGACACACAAAGUGAUUUGACAGCCUUUUUCAAAUAUCUAAAAGGCUGUCUCAUGAAAGAUGGAGCAAGCUUGUUUUUGGCUGCCCCAGAAGGUAGGACCCAAACCAAUGGAUAUAAAUUACAAGAAAGGAGAUUCUGACUAAACAUUCUGACAACAGGAGCUCUUUGACAGUGAAAUGGUCUAAGCCUUUCUCAACCUGUGGGUUCCCAGAUGUUGUUGAACUACAACUCCCAUCACCCCUAGCUAGCAAGGCCAGAGCUCAGGGAUGAUGGGAGUUGUAGUCAAACAACAUCUGGUGACCCACAGGCAGAGAACCGCUGUGUGACCUGCUUGCCAGGAAGAAAUUUUUUGAGGGCCAAAUAACAGAUUUCUCCCCAUGCUGUGGUUCUGGAAAAAACUGCUCCCCUAAAGAUACCUCCUGAGGGAAGGAAGUUGCUGUUGGUGCCAGUAUCAGCUUCCCUGCUACAUCAAGUAGCACAGGGACAUAGGGAGCUGCCUUCUACUGAGUCAGACCAAUGGGCCAUACUGUAAGCACCUACUUGCAGCAGCUGUGUAGAGUUUCAGGCAGCGCUAGCUGGAGACACAGGGAAUUGAACCCGUGACUCUCUGCAUGCAAAGUGUAUGCUCUGCCACUGAACUAUGACUCUUCCUCUUUCUUUCUUUCUUUCUUUCUUUCUUUUUCCUGAUAAGCAUUAAUGGCUCCUUUACAGCAAUAUGUGCUCAAGGGUCUUUUCGAAAAGUGGAUAUUUGACCUGACAGACCUUGGCUGACAGUCAGGCUCCCAUGUAUGCAUUCUGAAGCUUUGUGCAAAACAGAACAUCUCAGCGGAAUAAAGGAAUUUACAGACUAUUGCUUCAUCACGUAGCAGCCUAUGUUCCUCAUCCCCCCGCUUCUGUCUUUUCAACUUGAAACAAAACCUCUCUUUUAAAACCAGGUUAAAUGCAAAGCUUCUAAGUAAGACAUUUAAAAAGUAAAAAUAAUUAGGGAUGUGCAAGGCUUCCUGGCAGAAUUCCGUCACAAAAUGUGCGAGAGGCUUUUUUCCCCCUGAGCCAUGGAUUUUGGCAACAAAACCCUAUCAUGAUUCUUGUUAGCUUUCUUUCACUACUCCAUUUAUUAUAUUUAAUCCCAUAUUUGCUACAUUUAGAGAACACAUAUAGGCAAGUUUACUCAGAAGUAAUUCCCACUGAGAUUGUUGGGCUUUAACCCCAGAAAACUGUCUUUAGGAUUACAGCCAUAACCUCAUAUAACCUAUGUGUAAUUCACUCACAAUAGCGCUGCAUCAUGGGCAUUAUAGUCAUAAGGAAUAAUAAUUUUUUUACCAUUACAUAGAGAGAAUCACCUUCAGUUUCACAUUUCAGGAUGCCCUAGGCAACAUAUUACUUGCCGGGCCCCUUUUUCUGUCAAUAGGUGCUCUUCUCCAUUUAUACAUCCUGGUGGGAUUACCUGGCACAAGUGGUAGGCAACAGCACCAGGCUGGGGAUAGCCAGUAAUUUAUUUUCUCACAAAUGUUCAAUGGCAUUGUGGGGAAUUUAAAUGACAGCCAGACCCACCUGCCAGUUGGUGCUUUUAGCACCAGGUUUUUAAAGAAGAACCUAGGAGAGGCCUCAGUAGUGGGGCUCUCUCAUUGUUCCGAUCUAUCACUAAAGAGCAGGUUUUCCCUUGGAAAGGCAUGGGGCAAGGAGAGAACCUUCUCAGACCUGUUCCUAGAAAGCAUGGGUCAAGUGGAAAACCACUCAGACCUAUGCUUCCUAGGCACAGCACAAGCAGAAGUGUGGACAGUGUGAAGAAGCACUUUCUUCAUAACUAACUUAGUUAAAAUACGGAAUUUGCUUCCACGAGAUUUAAUGAUGGUCACCAACUUAGAUUGCUUUAAAGGGAGGGUUGAUAAAUUCAUGUACAGUAAGGCAACCAGUGCCUGCUCAGGUCCUGCUUGCAGGCUUUUUCUAUGGGCAUCUAGUUGACCACUGUGAGAACAGGAUGUUGGAAUAGAUGAGACUUUGGCCUGAUCCAGCAGAGCUCUGCUUAUGUUCUGUUUUCCUUUGUUUCUAAAAAGACAUCAGAGAUCCAACAGGUAUGCUGGGAGGGUGAAGAGAUUAGGUACAUUUUUGCACCCAAAACACACAGUUGGGUAAAUGUCCAAAUCCAUCCAAAUCUCACAAUAUUAUAAGCCCCAUGUAUGCCACCAUGAUCUUAAAGGAAGAGCAGCAUAAAAGUACGACAGAUAUUAUAGCAGUGGGGGGAAAUGCACAUUUGUACAUGAGUUUAUUGAGCUAUGAAUAUGCUGACUGGCCAACCAAUCUAUGUAGUCUGUCCAGGGUAUGUUGCCACAGCCUCCUGUCCCACAUUCCUGUUGUACUUUAUAUAGGUCAUUGUGCACAUGGUCUUUCAUGUGCGAAAAUUAUCACAUCCCAUAGGAAUCAGUGCUAAGGACAUGCUCCACACAACCAUUUUUAUGAGUCAUUGACUUGUUCAGUAGAUGCACUGGUUGGAUAAGUUGUGUUGAACCACCCACCAAAUCUUAGACAAACAAAUCAAGACAUACUGUGUUGCAACACAGUAUAUCUUGUUUUGAUUUGUUUGACUAAGAUUUUUCCAGGGCAUCUUGUCUUGCAUAGAAACAUGAAAAGAGCACUGCUGGGUCAACAAACGUCCAUGUAUCCCAAUGUCCUAUUCUCACAGUGGCUAGUGGGAAACCCACAUGCAGAACAUGAGCACAAUAGCCCUCUGCCACAUUUGUUCCCCAGCAACUAGUAUUCAGAAGCAAACUGCCUCUGAUAGCCAUUGUGAUUUGUAGGCACUGAAAGCCUUGCCCUCCAUAAAUUUGCCUAAUCCUCAUUUUAAAGUUGUCCAGGUUGAUGAAUAUCUCUACAUCUUGUUGUAGCAAGUUCCACAGAUGACCUAUGUGCUUUGUGAAGAAGUAUGUUCUUUUUCCAGUCCUGAAUGACCUAAAAUUCCAGCUUCAUGACUCCUUGCUUGCCUAGGUUGUGGUUAGAGAAGAGUGUGUGAGUGUGUGUAGAAAUUAGCCUACUGUACAGAAGUAAAAUUUACAUUUGUUGCUCCACCCACUUUUGUAUCUAGCCCCACCUACCAGUGGCAUGUGACCCCCCCAGAAGAUUCCCCCCAAAAAGGAAUGUGGCCCUCAGGGUGAAAAAGGUUUCCUACCCCAGGCAAAAGGAAUAGCUGUCAGGUAGUUAAAACACCAGUAAGCAAGUCUCUUAACAGUGAUAGGCCAGAAAUGGUCAGAUGUUUCUACCUGUGGCUUAGAAAGUCCUCCAACUCAAGCUUCCUUAUUGGUCUGAGCAAUUAACAGAACUGGCCCAAGCCAUUUUACUUCCUGAAGCAAAGGACAAGAUGGUGCCUCUCCCUGCCCCCAUUCCAUGUACAGAAGGUGUCUGGACUGGCAAUUGAAUCCUACUUUAUCACCAGUGUUGGAUUAGCAUCCUCCACUGUACGUGAGAGAAGCAGGCCAGAACACACACCUCUGAUUUCCAGCAGCAUCCUGUUUCUGACUGGAAUGUGUUCUUCAAUGCUGAUGGUGUCUCUUGCUUAGGUGGAAAGGUGAUGUGUGUGUCUGGAGUAUUUACAUUUGUUGCUCUGCCCACUUUUGCCUCUGACCCUGGACACCACUGGCAUGUGGCCCCUGGAAAAUCGCUGAGAAUAGAAUGUGGCCCUUGGGCUAAAAAGGGCCCCUGAUGUAGGUCAUACUAAGCCAGACGUACCAAGGGGCUGUUCCAUUAUAAGGAAGCUUUCUGUACUCUAAGGCAGGGGUUGGCAAGGUUUACCUCGCCUGGGCCGGUUCACUCCAGCGGAGAUCCCUCCGCCUGGGCGCACCAGCAGACGCGAUUUCCGGCACCACAGAAGCAAGUCCCUGCACCAUGCUGGUUUAGCUCAGUGCACGGGGACUCGCUGAGUGAGCAGCUCAGUUCGGGGGUGGCUUGUGGGCCGGUUAAAUGACCCCCAUGGGUUGCUUGUGGCCCAUGGGCCUUAGGUUGCCGACCCCUGCACUAAGGGGAACUCCUGCUGCCACCACCUCACGGUGAUUGCCUCACUGCUGUGCCACCAACCCCAGCAAUUAGCUGGCUCUGCUGUAGAGCUGGCUCCAGACUUCUUUUACCUCCUUUCACCUCUGACUCAUUUCAUCCUGCCCUCCGACGUGACAGGAGCCAGGUGCAACACCCUGGCGGACCUUUGAAAACCUCCUGAAUGCCUCUCCUACUUGUAGGAAGGACGCCUAGGGAAUGGACUGUAUCUUUCUCUUUUUCCUCUUCUCUCUCUUUCUCUCUCUCUCUCCCCCACCCCCAGUCUUUCUUGUUAGGUUGAUGACAGAGUCCCUCUUUCCCAUCACUCGCCCCCACCCUCUCUCCCUCCCUCCCUCUCUCCCUAUCAGCUGCCUAAUCUGCCUGCAUAUUCUGACACACACAGCUGCGAGAGAUGAAAACUGUGCUGUUGAUAGAUGAAACUUUGGAUAAGAUUACAUGGUUUUGAAUAUCUUGAUGACAUAUUUGUCUGAAAAGUCUUUUAGAGGACAGCCUAAUAUAAAUGCACGGAAAUGUUUCUAAUGACUAGCAUUUGUCUACGGUCUCCAUUUGAAAGAUGAAACAUUCACAUAUCAUUUGCAUUUGUAUGUGAAGGCAAACUUUUCAAUAAAUGCUUCUUCCAAGUGAGAAGAGUUAACUAUUUACUCAAAACAUGCCCGGACGAUUACAUUCCGGGUGUAAUUGGCCUCCACUAGAAUUGGCAGUUGCCACACUCAUGGCAGUAUAGACCUGAUUAAGGCUGGAAGUUGUUAAAAAACACUGGUGAUGUGUUAUUUGCUUAUGUCCCCAAGAUGUUUCCAGAAUAAUUUCUUGAUUUGAUUUGCUAGUGAAUUAUCUGUCUCGGUGGUGGAGUAGAUACUAACAUGGUAUCCCAUAUUACAUUCCAAUAGUUAUCUGAUCACAGACAAGAUUGAGGGCAUCUCCAGAGCAAUGUUCUCUUUUGCAGAUAUAUUCUGCAACAUGUCAUUGACACAAUCACUGUGCAAUAGUGGUGUGUUUAUAGUGAACCAGCCACAUGUCAUUCCCUUCUUUAGUUGUUCUGUGAUGCUUCCCAGUGUGAUUGCAUUAUUGCUGUCUGGAGGGGACACGCAACAAGAGUGACACACACCCUGAACAUUUGUGGUCUAAGGAGGUUCAAGAUUUCAGCAGGAAGUUACAGGACAUGCACUGAUGGAAAACAAAGAAGUACGUGCACCCUGAAGACUUUGCAGGCACAAACAGUAUUAAAAGCAGGAUUGCAGCUAACCACCCUCAUUCAGUCAUGAGCACAAAUAAUCAAGAAUGCACAAUAAAAAGAUAUCUGGAGAGGGGGCAGUUGAAAACAACCUGCCAAAUGAAUUUAUCUCUUUCUUGCUAAUGGAGCAUGAUAGGAAAUAGCAUAGGACUGAGGUCUAAGUAGAGUCAUUGCUAAGACAUUAGCCUUCCACCCAACGGACAUCAGCCACCAUUACUGUUGCCUCUAUGUGACUACAGGAUCCAAAUGACAUCACAUAGAUGCCAGCAAUUAUGCCAGACUGCUCAUGUGUGCAAUUACCUAAAGUUAUGUGGAAUAAAUGUGGGGGUGGGGGUGCAUAAGUUUCUCUGAUAGCAAAAGGAAAAAGCUUUAUUUUUCAAACUCUCAGUGAAGUUACAUUGGUAGCCUGAUAAUAGAGCCUUCGCUAAAACAAGCUGCCCAUGUAUCCUGGAAUAACCUUUCCACCCAUUAAUUAUUGCAAUUAGGGAAUGUGAUAUUUAGUUAGCUUUCCUUAACCUAAGAAUGGCAUGUUACAUAUUAUUGGAAAUGGCCAAAGCAGGUUAUCUGCAUGUCUCAAUGGGUCAACCUUUACCUUUCCUAUUACAGGUUAUCCGUGUCAUUCUUGGAAAUCAUUGACUUCCUGGACAUUGACUCUGUCAUGGAAAAAUUGUGAGGGGGGGAGAGUCUAACUUGCAGAAAAAUGCUGAAUAACAUUUUUCAACUCUCCUGCUGGUGGGGAAAAGGAAUCAUUCAUUUUUGCUCCUCUCUGCCAAAUCUGAUUGUGAUGUUCAUAUUAGAUAUGAACUUUUUUAAAAAAAAAGAAAAUUCACCAGCAUUUUAGUGUGAAUUUCUCCUAAUGCACACAAUUUUGUAUGCAAUUUUAUCUAACAAAGUGCAUAUUUGUAUGUUGUUUUCACUAAUAUACCCAAUGAUAUGCUCUACCAAAAUACAUGCAUUUUGUACAUGUUACUUAGCUGGAGAACUGCACUGUGAAAUUCAGAGAACUGCAAAUUUUGAAGGAUGACUAUGUUUCAGUUCAUGUAAUACUUCAGAAAGUGCCAAUCCAAUAUGAUUGCCUUCACUGCAAACUGGAUCAGAUUUCUCCUUCAUCCCUAAAUCUAGCGUUACACUGUUGUUCAAAAGGCAAGGCUAACUGUUAGUGCUUGUUAUUGCAGUGAGAUACCUUGCGACAGUCCCUGUUAUGGUGCUUUUAAUGCCCAGCGUAUGAUAGCAGGUUGGGUCAGGAAUCUCAACCCUUGUUCUAUAGACACCAGCUGAAACAUUUAAACUUAACAGGGUCACAACAUGGUGCAGUCAACAAGAAAUUUUGCAAAGAGAAGACUUUGUUUUCAUCCCACUCCUCUGCCAAUUUUGGCAGCAUCUAUAAAUUUAUUUGAUGCACUUUAUAUGUUUAAUUAAAACAUUAUAUUAGCACACUUACAGUAAGUGAUAAAAACACUCUGGUGGUGGUGGUGGUGGAAUGGGCAGAGAGCCUUUGAAGCAAUCGGCAGAUCUGAAAUUGCUAGAUGUGCACAAGUAAAUCAGAUACAGAAUCCAUAAAUUGGAACGAAUCUCUUCAAAUUUUCUGCCACUUCAUAUAUAUUAAAAUGACUUCUUUUAAGUGUUCGUCAGUGUGGACUUGGCAUGUGCAGUGUAUUUCAUUAGGGUGUGCACCCAGGGAAUUUGAUUGAUUGGUUGGUUGGUUGAUUUAAUGUCAAUGAGGGAAGGGGGGGAUGACAAGACAAACAAAUACAGACUAGGAAAAGCUAAAGAGGAAACCAACCAACCACAAGGGUGGUCAAGAAGCCAAAAUAAUAGAUAUAUCCUGCAGGAAAAUAUACCUCUGCCAAGAUGACCAGAGGCAGGGCAGACCUGCACUGUUGAUCCUUAAAAGUGCUAUGAAUCAUAAACGUAAUGCAGCCAUUGGACUAAGUACAGGAUCUUCUUUGAAUGUGACAAAUAGUGUCACAUUCUCAGGAGGCUUCUGGUGGCCCACCUUUAUGUGUCACACACAUAUGUUUCCUCACAGAACAAGCCAGCCUUGUGAAUUUGAUCAUGAAAAUGAUUCUGGAGCUCUUCCACCAGGAGGAAGCAGUACUUCUAAAUCCACCACCUGCCAUCAAACAGCCUUGAAGAUGAUACUCUCCUGAUCAUUCCAUUGUUUCAAAAACAGGUGAUAAAGGAGAUAAUGAGCUUGUGAAUCAUUGCUGUUUGAGCAGAAAAACACACAUACUCACUGGCCAUUGAAACACUUGUACUCCUGACCCCAAGAUCAAAUCCAGGACAACUGCUGGAUGUAAAGUUCACUUUGUCUGGGCUGGCAGAAGGAAAACAAGCAAGGCUGUUUAUUUCCUUCAUUAAUGGGGAGACUGGAGAUCAAGUGUCCUGCCAGUACCAAAACCUGGCAGCUUCUUUGCAGGAAUCCGGUGUCAAGCCAAAUCACUUCUUGUGGUCCGAAAUUCUGCCCUUUUUUAAACAUUUAAAAAAAGAACAGGUCAUGAGAAAACAUGAAAGUGACAGAUUCUCACAUAACUGUCAAUUUCUCUCUAGCUUGGCUUUGCAUUUUAUUUUAAUUUGCUUAGCAACGUAAGAGCCUGGCUGUUGGAUCAGGCCCAUCUAGUCCAGCCCUAUGUCCACACAGUGGCCAACUGGAUGCAUCUGGGAAGCAGGACCAGAGUGCAACAGUAACACACUCUGUGCUUGAAAUUCCCAGAAGCUGGUAUUCAGAGCCAUACUGGCUUUGACACUAGAGGUAGAACAAAAAGCUUGUUUGCUUAUUCACUUGCUUGUUUAUUUUGUUGCCAGAUUAAAAAACACACCCACCCAAGAUUUUAAAGAGAGCCAGCAUGGUAGGUCUGCGAGGGGCUGGGCAGAAAUUUAGCUGACAUAAAGUCUUUCUCAGUGGGUUUUGGUGAGGCUAAGAAAAGGAGUGUCAAAAGACCUAUGUCAGGCAUAGGCAAACUCGGCCCUCCAGAUGUUUUGAGACAACAGUUUCCAUCAUCCCUGACCACUGGUCCUGUUAGGGAUGAUGGGAGUUGUAGUCCCAAAACAUCUGGAGGGCCGAGUUUGCCUGUGCCUGACCUAUGUGUACUCCUGUGAGCUUUCAGGAAGAAAGGAAGAAUAUAAAUGAAAUAUAUAGUUAUCUUCUAAAAAAUAAACCCUGGUUCUUGAAAAUAAAACAGUUCAAUUUUAUGCAACUAUGCAGAUUUGAAUUACCGUAUUUUUUGCUCUAUAAGACUCACUUUUUCCCUCCUAAAAAGUAAGGGGAAAUGUGUGUGCAUCUUAUGGAGUGAAUGCAGGCUGCGCAGCUAUCACAGAAGCCAGAAGAGCAAGAGGGAUUGCCGCUUUCACUGUGCAGCGAUCCCUCUUGCUGUUCUGGCUUCUGAGAUUCAGAAUAUUUUUUUUAUUGUUUUCCUCCUCCAAAAGGUCUUGUGGUCUGGUGCGUCUUCGUCUUAUAGAGUGAAAAAUACAGUACUAAGCAUGUGCAGUAUGCCACCAAACCUCCUUUAUAAGAGCCUAAAAUGUUCAAGACUAUUUUUGUUAUGUAGCCUACCACCUCUCAAACUGAUGCCCCACCCUUCCCCUCAAUGUUCCCCAAAUGCUCAGGAUGCUCAUAGGUGAGGUCACCACUCUUUUGCCCCACAGCAACAUUGUGAGGUAGGGUACAUUGAGCAAGUGGCCCAUUGUGAUCCAGAGAGUUUCAUAGCCCACCAGGGGUUUGAACCUGGGUCCGCCUAGUCCAAGUCCAACUCCCUAGCUACUGCUAGCUUGUACUUGUGUGAGCCAUGAUUUAAACAUUUAUGUCAGAGAAAUUCUGAUGGGCUGUAUUCAUGUACACAGAGUAGACCCACUGAAAUUUACAGACCUGACUAACUUACAUCUAUUCAUUUCAGUGGGUCUAUUCUAAGUAGAACUUAGUUGAAUACAACCCACCGACUUUAAUGGAAUGGUGGGGAGAGCUGAGGGCUGGAGAAUAAAUUAUUAGUGUCCUCACUAAAUCCUUCCAGCUGCAAAGUUCUGGCUCUGUACGAAAGUUAAUGGCUACCCAAUGUACUAGAUAAUGCAAAGUACAAACAAAAAGCAAAGUGGAAAUGAUGCCAAUGUAUGCUGGAAACUGAUUAUGUAGAAGUUAUCUAUCUAAUUCUCAUUAGUGAUUCUGUGUUAAACAUUCUGGAGUGUCCGGAUGUGAAUGGGACAGUGGGGGGCGGGGGACAAUUGCUCUGCUCUGUCCAAAUAUUGACUAGGAUUAGAAGUGAUGUGAUUCUGUCUCAUCUCCAAAUGUCUCCAGCACUUCAAAUCUAAGCCUUUCAUUAACAUUCACCAUUGGCUAAGGGGCUUCUUUAGUUUAUCAGGUUUGGGGUUAGUUGGACACACGCCUCACAUUCCAAGACCUCAAUAUGUUGAUUGCUACAGAAAGUUGACUACCACCCAUGAUUCAUCUAAGUUUUACUUUGGGUCGACUCAUUGAAAUGAAUGAGCAUGACUAAGUUAGGCCCAUUCAUUUCAACUGGUCUAUCCUCAGUUAAACUUGGUUGGAUACCACCCUUUUGUCUUGUACACUGGUGGCUAAAAUGCUGUAACCCCAGCUUAUCCAAGGUAAUGCCUGCCAGAUGUUGCUGGACUACAAUUUCCUUUGGUCAUGCUGGCUAGAACUGAGGGCAGCUGCAGUCCAACAAUAUUUGGAGAGCACCACCUUGUAAAUUGGGACGUGGGUGGCGCUGUGGGUUAAACCACAGAGCCUAGGACUUGCUGAUCAGAAGGUCGGCGGUUCGAAUCCCCACGGCGGGGUGAGCUCCCGUUGCUCGGUCCCUGCUCCUGCCAACCUAGCAGUUUGAAAGCACGUCAAAGUGCAAGUAGAUAAAUAGGUACUGCUCUGGCGGGAAGGUAAACAGCGUUUCUGUGUGCUGCUCUGGUUUGCCAGAAGCGGCUUAGUCAUGCUGGCCACAUGACCCGGAACCUGUACGCCGGCUCCCUUGGCCAAUAAAGUGAGAUGAGCACCGCAACCCCAGAGUCGGUCACGACUGGACCUAAUGGUCAGGGGUCCCUUUACCUUUACCUUGGAAAUUACAUUGAAUUCAGUGGUACCUACUUCUAAAUCAUUGCUAACACAAAGUGUCUAAAAUUUUCAAAGCACUGUACAUAUAUUUUAAAGACCAGGGGCUGUUCCCCUGCUUGCAUUGCUUGUCAACCCUGCCUAUCUGCUACCCACUACCACAAAAAACCCUAUGUCAUUGCCAACCACUCUCCCUUUACACCUGGCCACCCCUCCCCUCACAUCUCGCCCCAAACACUCUUCCCAUCAGAUCCCCCAACCCACUCCUUCAAUUUUGUCUAAUGUAUUUAUUUUUCCAAGCAAGCAAUUUCUUCUAGUAUGGUUCAUUUGUAUAUAAAUUAUUUUCACUAAUGUAUACAUUUUUGGGACGCGGGUGGCGCUGUGGGUAAAACCUCAGCGCCUAGGACUUGCCGAUCACAUGGUCGGCGGUUCGAAUCCCCGCGGCGGGGUGCGCUCCUGUCGUUCGGUCCCAGCGCCUGCCAACCUAGCAGUCCGAAAGCACCCCCGGGUGAAAGUAGAUGAAUAGGGACUGCUUACCAGCGGGAAGGUAAACGGCGUUCUGUGUGCUGCGCUGGCUCGCCAGAUGUAGCUCGUCACGCUGGCCACGUGACCCAGAAGUGUCUGCGGACAGCGCUGGCUCCCGGCCUAUAGAGUGAGAUGAGCGCACAACCCUAGAGUCUGUCAAGACUUGCCCGUACAGGCAGGGGUACCUUUACCUUUACCUUUACACAUUUUUAUUCAAAAUUUUCCAUAAUCUACUCAUUAUUUGGCUGGAGCAUUGCAUUGCAAAAUUCAGAAAAGUGUGAAUUUCAACAGAUAGCUGUGUUUUGACUCGUACAUAGUUUUGAGAACUGCAAAUUAGGUAGAAUCUGAACUGAACUGGAUGCUUCCCCCAUGCCUACUUCUGUAGACAUGGUAAGAACUGUGCUGUAAAUAGAUCUGCCUAGCCAAAUCUGUGGGAAACAGAAUGGUGGUAUAGAAAGACCUCUAGACUGAUCUAUCAGGACUAUUCUUGCGGAUAGCACAAGACUGUAUUUAUGACUGGGAUAAUCAAGAUAUGGGGUUGUAUCCAAUGUAGCAUUCAGUUAAAGUCACUUAGUGAUAUACUUGUUCUGCUGGUGAAAUCCUUUGCACUUUUGGGCACAAUCUGUUGUGCAAGGAGUUUUUGCUAGUACAACUGUUGUGUUGGAUUCCUCUGUUGUGCAAAACAAUUAAAACUCACCCAUCUGCUAGUGUAAGAAUCCUUGCACUAGCAGACAGAGAAUGUUGCAUACAGCCCUCAAAUUUUUAAUGCCCCAUUUUAUUUACACACACCCAAAAAGCACAUCAACACCUCUGUGCACUGUACCUUAUUAAACUUGAGGUCUCAAAUUCUUUGGGCAGGCUUGCCCCCGCCCCCACCAAACCAACCCCUUGCGUUAAUCUGACCACGGCAAAACUGCCCCCUUGAAAUAAAUGUAUCCAGAGGCCUUACUUUAAUGCUCUUAAUUUUCCUCACACAUUCUUUCUACGUUAGACAUCCUUGGGCAUAACGAAAACCUAUGUGCCAUUUCAGCAGCAGAGCACUGUGGGUUUUGACCUGUUCACUCUCUGACAUCAGCAGAUCUAUCUCAUUGGGUGAAAGUAAAAAGCUUGUGAUUAAAAAAUAAUGACUAAUACAUGAGUAAUGCCGGGUCCAUUGUGCUAACGGCCCUCUGGACAUCAUUUGUUUUGAUGGCAAAGCUCUUGGACAGCAAGUGCCUACUCUGUAGGGCAGGGCAGCAUUCAUGAGUGGGAUGGUUGAAAGAGCUGAGAUUGGGGAGUGUGAUGGUUGGUUGCUUCCAGAGUUGCAGCUGCAUCCCCCUGCUAAAUAUUUUCUGUUCAUCUGCAAACUUUGAGGUUCCCUUAAGCCUAUGGAUACCUUUCUCUUAGGAACAUAGAAAACUGCCUUAGACCAAGUCAGACUAUGUGUCUAUCUGAGCAUUAGUUCUUCUAGGUUUCAGUCAAGGUUCACGCUCAGCCCUACCUGGAGAUGCUGGGGAUUGAGCUUGGGACCUUUGCAUGCAAGGUAGAUACUCUACCACUGAGCUACAGCCCUUGGCCUUCCCCACCAUCUUAUGCAUGGGUGCCCCCAUUUUGCCUAUAUGAGGGCUGAACAUCAGAAACAGAGGAUAUGAAAGAGUAGUACCCAGAUCCCAACUGAUCAGAACACAUUUUUCGGGGUUGUUAAGAUACGACAUAUGGUUUAUGCCCUAUGUCCUACCUAUUACAUUCAAGUCCCCGCCCCCCGAAGGAAUUACAUUGGAUCGGCAGUUUAACCUACAGUAAACAGCAGUUAAUUUAACAUAAAAUCACAUGAAAGUCAUGUUCAAGCUGUAAAGAACAAAAACUUCAGUAUGAGUUGUUGACUUUUGGCUUUAAAGCUUUAUUUCAAUUUAUUUAAUGAGGUUCUCUCUCCUCCUCCCCCUUCUCAGUACUUGCAUUUUAAAAACAGCAUACAUAUACAAUUUUACAUGAGAAUUAACAAUUUGUGUCUUAGUAAAUGCUGUUAAAAUUUGCCUGCCAUCUUCCAUCACAUCUGAUUUGCUGAUUAGCAGAUAGGUAGCUUUCUUCUUAUAAAAUGUGAAAUCUCAUUAAAAUUCUAAAUUUUUCCAUAACUCAAAGAUAUUUCAGAUGUAUUAGCUACAACACGAGUCAGAAUUUCUGAUUUGGGUUCAAAACAUGCACCAAACAAUGUUAGAUUUUUUUAGCAAUGAAGUUUUAGAAAAGCAUAUUUUGUGGGGGAUAAGUACAUGGAAUGGAUAAUCAAACUGUAUAAAUGCUGUAGCAAAAGGGAACACACACACAUAUAUAUACAAACUACAUUGAGAUUUAGACAUUCCUUUUUUAAAAAAAGGAGGAGUUUAUGAUAAGGAGGGGUUGGAAUCUAUGUCUAAAAUAUGUAAUAGAUUGGGGUGGGGGCAAUAGAGAAAAGAACAGGAAGAGAAAAGGAGGAAGCUACCACAUUUACCAACAAGCAGAGUCCAAUUUGAUGCUCUGGGUAGGUUUAAAAAGAUUUCAUGAGCCUGGAAAAAUAAAGAGAAAGUACACACAUUCCAACUGGUCAGAAAGCUGUAGCCAGAGAAAUGGAUUAUAGUAGUCUCAAGAAAAGUCAGGGAACAGCAAAAGGGUGGGGAGGGGAGAUAGCACACUUACCUCUCUAUUCUCCCAGAUAUACUAGCUGGGUGCUUUUAUACAGUGGGGUGUUGUUUUUGUUUGUGCUUAAACUGACAUUUGGGUCAUUUCCCGCUGAAGUAUAUAUUGUGCAAUCAUCCUGAUUUGUUUUCACAAAAUUUGCAUGGAGGUUACAUGGUGUCACCGUCAAAUCGUUGUUACUCUGUCCUUUCCCUGCAGUUUUCAGUCACUUUUCUUAUCACAAAAGGUUGUUUUUUAAGGCGCAUUUGUUGUGCAAGAGUGCCACUUAGCCAUUGCUAUUUAUUGCAACGUACCCACAUUCUUUGUGGGGGGUUAUGAAGGUGCACUCAUAUUGCACAGAGGGCAUAUACUGGCAUCUCCUCUACCUGCUGCUGGACUACAACUCCCAUUAAUCCUAGCCAGCACUGCCAAUGGCCAGGGAUGAUGGGAGUUGUAGGCCACAGGUUCCUCUCUUCUGCACAACUGGAUAUUGAACUGCAUAAACAAAAGCUGCAAGCACACUUCCCACGAUACCCACAAGCAGAGGUAAACUGUUAUGUAUGCAUAGACCCAGUCAGUUAUUUGGUAAUAGUCUGUUCAUAGUGUGGGAGGCAAGAGCAAAGGCUGGAUUCAUUUGCACCCUUGAUCUCCCCCACCUUGGAGAGAUCACUGGUUUCAACACUAUUAUCGCUGGUAAUUCAGCUGGAUGUGCUACAUGCAUGUACAACUCGAUUGUACAUCUCUAGCUAGCCUCUGCCAAAGAACAUUGGAUUGAAUCCUAAGUUUCUCUUCUGCUCCCCUAAGGGAAGGGGAAAUUAAUGUCAAUUCCCAUCCAUCUAUAACUCCAUGCACCAUUUCCUAGUAUUCCCAAGGGUCACUCUACCCCCAGGAGCAGAUAUGCAGGUGGUGCAAGGAGAUGCAGCAGGAAAGCAAAGGCGGGGAAGUCGUGUUCCAUGGAUGUGAAUUCUGUUCCACUGUAUCCCACAUUAUAUCUAUAAAAUAUAUCUUGUCACUAGCGAUAGGGGGAAAUUUGAUUCAGUUCACAUUUUCAGGCUAACAUAACUAAUGUUCACUUUUUGAAAUGACACACGAACUGAAACACAUUCACACUUCUCUGAAUUUUUCAGUACAGUUCUCCAGCCAAGUACAGUAGUACCUCGGGUUAAGUACUUAAUUCGUUCUGGAGAUCCGUUCUUAACCUGAAACUGUUCUUAACCUGAAGCACCACUUUAGCUAAUGGGGCCUCCUGCUGCCGCCACACCGCCGGAGCACGAUUUCUGUUCUCAUCCUGAAGCAAAGUUCUUAACCUGAGGUACUAUUUCUGGGUUAGCGGAGUCUCUAACCUGAAGCGUAUGUAACCCCGAGGUACCACUGUAAUGCGUACAAAAAUGCAUAUAUGAAGGCAGAGUGUGCAAAGAGGGGAAGCUGAUUUACAAAUACGUGCUUAGUAUGCAAAUAUGUGCAUAUUAGGAGACAUGUGCACUAAAAUGUUGCUGAAUUUUCAUGAGGACUUGCUUUAAAAAAAAAAUCUACAAGCUGAUGUGGAAAUGUAGAGAACUGAAGAGUGGAAAAAAAAUAAAAUCUGAGAGAAACUAAAAUGGACAGAUUUGCCCAUUCCCUACUCAUCACAGAUGAGUACACGCCCCAAGGAACUACAAUCAACAAGAAGUUUCCUAUUGUGUAUGCCCAUAUCGCGUUACUAUAUUAUUUUAUAUGCAUACCUAAUUAGUAAAAAAUAAAUAAAAAUCUCUAGAUUGUUAGCAACUUGCAGGAGAGUUUCAAGCAUAUAUCAGAAAUUUAGAUUAAACUGAAGUGGGUUAAAUUGCCACCCUGGUGCAAUGGAUCCCCUUAAAAAAAAACCAAAAAAAAAUAUUGCAGUUAGGAAAGUGAUGGGGAAAUGCACUAAAAAGUGUAGAAUGAAUAAUUAACAGGAAGACGUAUAGCCACCACACAAGCAAAUCAGGAUGAAUGCAUGAUAAAUGCUCAUUGUCAUAUAAUCUCACUGAAAGCAAAUCGGGACGAAUACUCUAUAAAGAGCAGGCGUUGUGUAAGCUUUGUGCAAACAAAUCAAGAUGGAUGCUCAAUAAACAGGUCAUCUUGUUUUUGAUGGCACAGGCCCAUUCACAUCCAGCCAGCACAUGAGUGCCCUGAUGAACAUUGUAACAUAGCUUGCUUCUACGCAUGGAUUUCCUUUGCUAGAUUUGGAUGAUAAUGUAUGAAGUCUUUAAAUCUUCUUUAGCUAAGUCCCAUCUCUCCCCCAGUACUGCAUGUGGAAAUGAGCAGAUGCAGGCUGACCAUCCACAGAACAUUAUGUACAUCGACUUCCAGCAUACUGCUGCAAGUCCUACUCAAAGCAGAAUGCAAAAGGGUCGGUGUGCAUGUGCCAUCAGUGGCAUCAGUGGGUACAAUUUGAGCAGCAGCUGCUUUUGCCAUGGUGUAGUCAGUUGUGAGAAUCAGCCUUAAGAAAAAAGGGGAAAGGAUUCCACUCAACACCCAAAUCAUAUGGUUUCCCUGAGUUUCUCACAGUUGUUUAAAUGGAUACGCUGUGAUGCAGCACAUAAUUAUGCAUGCUCGAUUCUUAUUGGUUUCGAUGGGGCUUAAGCAUGCAUAACUGCACACUGGAUUGAAGCCACAGUGAUUAAGUAAAGGGGAUGGAAAUAGGAAUUGGAAUAUGAUUUCUACUCAAUUUGUUAUUGCAGCUGCAUUUGGAUCUAAUCUGCUAGUCUCAGACCAAACUUCCAAUUUAUCCCAACAAGAAGCAGAAUUAUCAACAAAAUACAGCGUCAGAUUUGACCUCCAGACAAUGCAAUCCAUACAAGAAAUUAGAAAAGGGAAAUCACAAAUAUAUGUGUGUAUAUAACUGCUGCCUUUUGUUGUCUCAUGAUUCAUGCCUCUGAAACAGACAUGGGCAUUCCUCUUUAUUAAAGAUAAACAGAAGGGUUGACAGGGCAAAUUAAUUUCAUACAUACAAAUUAACUCAGCUUAGUCUUUCCUCUUCCCCACACUGAGACACCACCGCCUGGAUCAUUCUGUAUUCCUUCCUGCCACCAGAAAACAAGAAUUUAUUGGACAUAUGUUUGUGUUCCACUUAAUAAAAUAAUACGCCAAUAUUUUCCAGAUCAACUUUGUUAGUAAUUCAUGAAGUGACUAUUUAUGCUAAUCAGGCAGAAAUAUGUUUGCAGGCCUAAUGCA